rnacentral:lncRNA from 1 species
AAUAUAUCCGGAAGCAACUGUCAUGGCUGCUGUCAGUGAGGGCCCGUAAUGGAGAUCGAGUCAAGGGUUGCCCAGGGACACUUAAGAGCCUUCGGCUUCAAGGAGGCCUCUCAAAGGACAAAGGAUGAGACUGCCUGGCGGCAGAGUGCCCCCCACAAUCGUAGGAACUGUGUCGCCGCGCUUCCCGUUAACUUGCCGCUAAGUUUUUCUAGAAAAGUCGCCCUUCUUGCCAGGGUGGGACCUCACUUCUGACCUAGCCCUUCUUUGUGUACCAAGUUUUUGUUUCCGUCAUUUCCCGCAGCCCGGGAGCUCGGCGGGCGAUACUGUGGUAGCCUGGGAGGAAGGGGCGGGCCGGAUGCUGGAACCGAGAGAGGUGGGGCUCGUCGAGGAGUCACGGGCGGCCGAGGCUGGAGUCUCCUAAAUGCAACCUUGAGCUGUUCCACCCUUUGGUGCUUGGUCUGUUAGCUCGAGGUGCUCCUCACCGUGGAGGCGUUUAGAGCUGGUCAUAAGGCUCUUACCUGCUGACCCAACCACCCUCAACCACAGCUUGCCCUGCUCCAGAUAGACUUUGAUCCUAGAAAAUAUCUAAGAUGGGUGUAGUGCAGGUGUCCUAUAGACUUUGUCAUGGAGUGAAACAGAAACAAAUGUGAGUUAAUCAUUAACAUUUCCUAGUGGUUAAAAUUACUUUUUAAGCGCUUAACUGUGUAUUUUUUAGAUUGAAGAUUUCAAAUGAAAUUUUGAUUUGACUGAAAUAUUUAAUAUGUGAUGAGUUGAUAUUAAAAUACAGAAGAUUACUAUUUUUAUAGAAACAAUAAUGUAGAAACUAAUAUUUGAAGCAGGUUUACUCCACAUACUGUGUUAUAAUUUAAAUUUUCACUUAAACUCUCAAAAUCAGAAGAGCUGACCUAGUAAGGCUUAAACCUCUAAAACUUGUGGUUUUAACAAGGCUUAAUAUACGUAGUUAUAAUAGUUUUUAAAAAAAUUGUUAUCAAGUUCCUCAGGUGAUUCUGAUAUAGUAUUUUAAAGAAAGCAAAGAGAAAUGAUCUGUUUAUACAUUUUAAAUAUUUUGUUCCUUAUUUAUGUAUUGAGACUGUGCUUAUAAAUGCAUUCACACGCAUUGAAGUACAUAAUUUGAUCGUCAUGCCAGCCUGGAAUCUUGCUUUUUGUAUGGUUUCUUGCAGGUAGGUCUAUUGGGUUCUUGGCAUAGUACCUGGACAAAACAUUGUUAAGGUGGAAAUUUUCAUUGUAUUUAUCACUUCAAACACUUGACCAGUUUAUUUAGUUUUCAAGCGCUUUAGACAACUAUAUGUGGGCUUGACUUAGUGUAUAAUAAAUGUAAAGUUUGAUCUCAAGUAGUUGACAUUUAUGGAGUAUUUACCAUAUGCCAAUCUUUGUGAUAAUUGCUAGACAUAUUUUAUUUAAUGCUUACAGCAGUACUGUGAGUUAGGUUUGUUAAAUCCCUGUUUUAAUAGAUGGAGAAACUGAGGCAAGGACGGAUUAAGUUACAAAUCCGUCUUUGUAACUUAGAGCCAUCUUCUUACCUACUUGUUUUGUAUGACACCCUUUUCCUCCAUAUAACUGAACACUGGUAGAAGAGUGAAUGACUGUAGAAAACAGACCUGGACUCUAUUCUACCUGUCCAGCUUUGUAAACUAGGGCAAGUUGUGUGACCACUCUGAAUUUCAUUUUCCUCACCUAUAAUAAAUGAAAACUUUGAACUAUUAUGUUUUAUUGAAUCUUGAAUCAUCAGAAAUCCUUAAGGCUGGGUGUGGUGCUUCACGCCUGUAAUCCCACCACUUUGGGAGGCCCAGAUGGGAGGAUUGCUUGAGGCCAGGAGUUUGAGACCAGCCUGGUCAGUCAGCAUAGCGAUAUCCCAUCUCUACCACAAAAAAAAAAAAAAAAAUUCCUUAAAAUGGUGCCUUUACCAUCAAACCUGGGAUUUUCUUCCAAGCCCCUAGUGCUCAUUCUGAGUUUUGAAGUUUUGAUGCACGGCAGUGCCAACUCCAUCUCCAUUGCCGUCUAGUCUGAUUACAUUGUAAGAUGUGACUGAUUUCAGAGAUGUCAAAAUGUAAAAUAAUGUGCAUCUUGGAACUAAUGAGCUCUUUUUCAACCCUGACUCUGUAACAUCUGUGACUUUUUAACAUUUUAUUGCAGGAUUAAGUAUUUUUGAAUGUAAAUGAUUCAAGAUAACACAUAGACUUCGUUUGAUGACAUCUGCAAAAUAAAUUUUUAAAAAAUUUGGGCUUCAUGAUAAUGGAAAAGUAGAAACUAUGUUUGUCUUUAUCACCUGUGAAUCCCCCAUAUUGAGAACAUGCCUGGCACAUAGUGAGUGUUCAGUAAUCAUUUACUCAAUGAAGUAAACAAGUCUUCAUUUCUUUUUUCUUUGUUUGAGACAAUCUCACUCUGUUGCUCAUGCUGGAGUGCAGUGACGCUAUCUUGGCUCACUGCAACCUCUGCCUCCAAGGCUCAAGUGAUCCUCCCGCCUCAGCCUCCCAAGUAGCUAGGACUACAGGCACACACCACCGCACCAGUUAAUUUUUGAAUUUUUUUGUAGAGACAGGGUCUUACCAUAUUUCCCAGGCUGGUCUUGAACUUCUGGGCUCAAGCCAUCUGCCUGCCUCAGCUUCCAAAGUUCUAGGAUUACAGGCAUCAGCCACUGUGCCCUGCCACGUCUUCAUUUCAUAUUACAAAUACAAUAUUAAAAAAUUGUGUUUGACUUGAAUUAGACAUAAAAUACACAGUCAUGCAUCGCUUAAUGACAGGGAUACAUUCUGAGAAAUGUGUUGGGUGAUUUUGUUAUUGUGCGUGUACUUACAUAAAUCUACAUGGUAUGGGCUACUACAUAUCUGUAUGGUAUGGCGUAUUGCUCCUAGGUUACAAACCUGUAUAGCAUGUUACUGUACUGGAUACCAUAGGUGGUUGUAACACAAUGGUAUUUGCAUAUGUAAACAUGUCUAGACAUAGAAAAGGUACAGUAAAAAUAUUAUAACUUUAUGGGACCGUCAGUGAAAUGUCAUUAUGUAGCACAUGACUGCAAUAGUAUUAAUAGUGUAAAACUAUUUUGCACUGAAAUUUUUUGCAUUCAGAAGUUCACUGUUGUAAACUGUCUUUCUUUCCAAAUAUCUUUUCUUCUGCUGAUUAUUGCUGAUUGUCAUCAAGUAUGGGGUAUAUUUUGUUCCUCGAAGAGUUAUAGUAAAAAUUGAAAUGCUGGCUUAUAGACUUUCCAACAAAGAAUCUGAUUUAUUUUUAAAGUGGCCAAAGUAUAGGAACAUUAUUUAAUUUUUAGAAAUCUUGAUUGUAAAAAAAGUUUUAAAAAUGUGAUUUGAUAGCUUAUUUAAUUUUUGUGAGUAUUCUGGAGGUGAUUAGGCAUACUAUCUUUCCUAGUAUACAAAUAAUAUUGAAUAUUUCUGAGUUAUGAACAAUAAAAAUAAACUACAAUUGAAAUUAUGUCAUAAUUGAAAUUAUGUCAGUGGGCAGAAAAGUGUUCCAAGUUUUUGGGUGGGCAAGUGUAAGAAUAAUGUUAACAGGAGAAAUUAUUCCAACCGUAAUUAUGGAUGUCUAAUAGUCUGUACUUUCGGUUAGAACCAGGAAGGUGGCACAGGAAUAAUUAUAGAGUUGUAGACUGUUCUCUGUAGAUAAUCAGCUGAGUUUUGUGCUGUGGCCAGAAAAGCCAGUGUGUGAGGUAUCAUCAGGAAGGGAUUUGGGAAAAUUAACAAAAAAAAUGUUACCCUCAAAUAACACAGUGUUUUAACUAAACAUGAGAUACAAGAAAUUAUUUUAUAUUCAUAAUCCAGAUGUUAAAAAUCGUUUCAAUUGUUAAAUGUGAUUAUGGCUAUAAUUUUACUUACAUAAUUCUGUAAAGGGUAUAUGCCUGUAUAUUCAAUUUUUAAAGACCAAAUAUAGGAGUAAAAUCAUUUACAUAAUUACAAAAAUUCCUGCCACUAAAAUAAAACUCUGUACCACUUGAUAGCACUUCAUUACUGAGUGAACAUUGACCAUGAACAUCUUGGAAUUUUCACUAUCAAUUUCCUUUUCUCAGAGUCCUUUUUUACAGAAAACACAAAGUUUUUAUUCUUUAGUUAUGCCUGUGCAGUAAUGAGGAGGGAAUAGUAUUCACUUCUGUUAGUACUUACUUCCUUGCACAAACUUUGUAAUGUAUACUUUACUGAGUUCUCCAAACCCAAAGGAGAAUAAGGCCAAGGGCCUAUAAUAAAUUAUUUUAUGAGUCCAAAAAAGUAAUUCAUUUUAUGAUGUUUUCACAGAAGUUUAUGCUUAUUAAUCAAAGAUUUCAAGUUUAAAGAACUGAAGGAGAAGUGAUAUCAUUAAAUUUGGAGCAAAUAUGUUCUUUCAAUAAUUUUUUAAGUACCUAAGGAUUGUUUUGUACUACCCUGAAAAUUGUUUUCCUUUAAAGUUUUUAUUAUUUCCACACCGUUUUUCUCCAUCUUUCUGUUUUCCUGUAAACGAAUAACAGUAAACCCCCCACCCUAACAAAAUGUGAAUUCACCUAGGCUGAAAUCAUAAGAUAUAUUCACUUUGUUUUCCCUACUUUUUCUACAUGUUCAAGAAUUUAUAUCAAAUACAGAUUAAUUUGAAAAUUUGACAUUUGGAGAUAAUCUCAGUGACUAAAAAGAAUAAAACAGGCAUGGGACACUUGCAAGGAGGAACAGAAACAAAAUUUUAAAACCCUCUCAUUACUUAACCUACAGCAAAGAUGAAUUUAUAAGCAUCUCAUUUAAACUCUAGGGUAAGUAAAUUUUUAAAAAGUUUUUAGAGAAUGAGGAAUACAAAGGGAUUUUGCUAAUUUAAGACAUCAUCGUUUUUAGUUUAGUGUACUGGGUAAAGGAUUUUCCAAGUUAACUAACAACUUUAUUCUCCAAAUCCUGAGUUUUUACUUUUGGGUGUCAGCCAUGACUACUUCUCAUCAGGAGUAUUUAAAAAUGUUAUCCUACCAGUUGGUGAAAAAAUAUCACACCUCCUUUCUAAUCUUUAUUGGAAAAUCUCCUUUUCUUUUCUUUUUUCUUUUCUGUUGAGGCCUGGUCUCGCUGUUGCCCAGGCUGGAGUGCAGUGGCGCAGUCUCUGCUCACUGUACCCUCUGCCUCCCAGAUUCAAGCGAUUCUCCUGCCUCAGCCUCCUGGGUAGAGGGGAUUACAGGCACCCGUCACCACACCCAGCUAAGUUUUGUAUUUUUUCAGUAGAGACAGAGUUUCACCUGGUCUCGAAUUCCUGACUUCAAGUGAUCCACCCCGCUCGGCCUCCCAAAGUGCUGGGAUUACAGGCAUGAGCCACCGUGCCCAGCCAGAAAAAAAUCAUUCUUUAUAGUCAAAGCUUAAAUGCUUCAUGACCCAUCUUCAUAGGAGAGUAUUCUUUUUAUGCUCUGUUCCCUGAUUUGGUGACUGUGAGAACUCUUAUAUAACAUUUAUGAAGUGCUUACACAGCAUUAAGAGAUAGGCAUGAAAAGAUGACUACAUCUUGCCUCAGCCCUGCAAGUACCUAUGGGAGAGUGACAUUUAAAUGUAUACAUGUAGCUAGGUGUGGUGGCUCAUGCCUAUAAUCCUAGCACUUUGUGAGGCUGAGACAGGAGGAUCGCUUGAGGCCAGGAGUUCAGACCACUGUGGGCAACAUAGGGAUCUCAUCUCUACAAAAAAUAAAAAAAAAUUAGCCAGGUGUGGUGGUUUGCAACUGUAGUCCUGGCUGUUCAGGAGGCUGAGGUGGGAAGAUCACUUGAGCUUAGGAGGUCAAGGCUUCAGUGAGCUGUGAUUUUGCCACUGCAUUCCAGCCUGGUGACAGAGUGAGACCUUGUCUCCAGUCGAUCAAUCAAUCAAUCAAAAAAAAAAUACAUAAAGUAUGAGCCAUACUGUGGUGGACGUAUGUGUAGGGGUAGAGAGAGGACACAAAUGAUCCUUCGAAAGGGCUUCAGAGAUGCCAUGACAUGUGAAAUAGCCAGGCUUCUUUGAGAAGGCACUCUAAACAGUUUGAUGGCUGUAUUUCUCAGCAGGAGCAGUAGUAACAUUUUGGAUAGGUCAGGUUGCUGUAUUGUCAUUAUACUCUCUUAAACAUCGCAAGAUAUUUAGCAGCCUUGGGUCUGUGGUCUUUUCCCACCAGCUAGCAUCAGUUGGAUCUGGGGAGAGCAGCUGGCAUCCUUCUUUAGAUGUGCUUAUACAAUAUGACUUUAUUAUUUUCUGAACUUCCUGUCCCUGCCAUUCCCAUUCAUUUCAUUUCAUUCACUGAAGACUUUGGCACCUGGCUUAUAGUUACCCUCUUCUCCCCAAGUCCCACCUUUAUGACGGUCACUUCAAAUUCCAUGUGGUUAACUAAACCAAUAUCCUGGCUCUCAACUGCUUGACCUCAAAUUUAGUGACCUUUACCUUUUCAUGAAGCCACCCAGUCUCUGAAUCUUAUAAUUAUUUAUGUCAGCAGCUACACCCUUAAAAACUUAAAAAACUCUUCUGCUCUUUGCCCAUUUUUCUAGCUUUUUAGCUGAAUGACUUCCAGUGCAUCUGUACUUCAGCUUCAAGAACUCCAAUCCCUUGGCUGUUCUCUCUCCCAGUCAGCUUCCAUCACUUCAACCAUUACACUCUUGCACCCUUUUCCCUCUGUUAGACCUACCGAGUAAAACACAACCCUAGGUCAGAAAUUAUAAUAAUAGCUAACAUAAACUGAGUGCUUAUUGUAUUCCAGACACUCUUCUGAGUUUACCUGGUUUGUCUCCUUUAAUAUUCUCAAUGGCGCUGUUAUCUCCAUUUUGUGCGUGAGGAAAGUAAAGCUCAAUUUUCUGUCUACUGUAGUAGGGUAUAAACCCUAGAAGUUUGCCCUUAGAAAAUGUGCAUUUAACCACUUAUUUAGCCUGCGUUUCAAAACAGCUGUCUUCUCUGCUUCCCCACUUGGACUGCUGUACUGUUUUCAGGACAGAGUAGGUUUGGCUAGGUGGAGAGUGUUGAAAGCACUCAUCUUAAACCUUGGCUAUGUAACUAACCCUUUUGGUAGGCCUCUAGCCAAGCCAGAAAACAGAUAAAGAGGGAAGUAACAGUGAUUAGGUAUUCAAUGUCACCAGCUGCUUCUGGGUGUCUGUAGACAGAGGGAGAAGAAAAGCUAAAGAGAAUAGGUAUCAGUUUGGGGAUUGAGUGUGAUGUCACCUUUGCCUGAUGACCUACUGAACAUUAGAGACUGAACUGACUUAAAAUUGGUAGAAUAAGCAUGAGAGAGUCCUCCAUUUGUUUGUUUGUUGUUUUUAAUUUUAGGUGAGUCUGAGUGAUUAUGUCAUGUAUAUGUAUGUCAUGGCUGAUGGGCUGAGGACCUCCAUUGCCCUCUCCGAGGCUUGGCUCAGCUGGCCUGGAGAGAUGUGCUAGGGAACAUGCACCCUCUUGUUACCUUCCAUCUCUAUCUGUUUUGAGAAAACCACUCUAACUAGUCUUUGCUGUGGAUUUCUCUCUCUAGAUGUCCUUCCUUUUGUUCUGGAUUUGUUGACGCUGACAUUGUCACUUGAAGUGACAGGGUAAAGCUUUUGAGAGCUGAUUGCUUCAGUUAUUAGGUCACCUGUGGGACUCUCUAAGUACCGUCAUGCAUCACUUGACUGUGGUGAUAUGUUCUGAGAAAUGUGUCAUUAGGUGAAUUCACCAUCAUGUUUAUUUACACACACAUAGGUGGUGUAGCCUACUACACACCUAGAUUGUAUGGUAUAGCCUGUUACUCCUAAGCUACAACCCUGUGCAGCAUGUUGCUGUACUAAAUACUGGAGGCAAUUGUAGCACAAUGGUGAAUAUUUGCAUUUCUAAACAUAUCUAAACAUGGAAAUGGCACAGUAAAAAUACAAUAUAACAGUUGUUUUUGUUUUUUAAUACACCUAUAUAGUGCAGCUCCAUUUUAAUCUUACGGGACCAGCAGUGUAUAUACUGUUCAUUGUUGACUGAAACAUUGUUAUGUAGUGCAUGAUGACUGUAAUUAAUUUAGGGCUUUGUUUUGACAAUGGUUUUGUUUGUUUGUUUGUUUGUUUUUGAGAAGAGUCUGGCUCUGUUGCCCAGGCUGGAGUGCAAUGGCGCGAUCUUGGCUCAUGGCAACCUCCGCCUCCUGCGUUCAAGCGAUUCUCCUGCCUCAGCCUCCUGAGUAGCUGGGGCCACAGGCGUGCACCACCACACUGGGCUAAUUUUUGUAUUUUUAGUAGGGACGGAGUUUCACCACAUUGCCCAGGCUGGUCUUGAACUCCUGUUUUCAGGUGAUCUGCCUGCCUCAGCCUCCCAAAGUGCUGGGAUUACAGGUGUUAGCCAUUGUGCCGGCCUUGACAAUGGUUUUCAUUUUCCUGUACACAAAAACUUUCCUGUCACCAUUCUUAGUCCCUUAAAGAGGCAAACUUUUAUUUUCUAGAUAUUUAAAAUAAUACCAAUAACUUCCUAUAAUUUUCAGAUUCACCAUAAUUUCUGCAUGUGAUACUCACAUAAAUGUAUUUCCACCACAAUUUUGAACGUGAAUUUAAGUCACUCAACUUAAUUCUCACUCACAAGAGAUAAGGCAGCCUCUGGUGGCAGGGAUUUUUCUUAGAAACCCCUUUCUGCUCGAAAGACUUCUUAGAGAAAAAUCACACAUUGGUGAAAACUAAUAGCAUGACAUUUAUGUUCAUGACUUUGCCUGGCAAUUCUUCUCUUUCCCAUUCUCCACAGGAGCUGUUUUAAACUUCUGCUGACCUUAGACCCUUCCCUAUGUGCUCACUAGAUCUCCUACUUUUUCAUUCUCAGCAGAUUAUUUUACCUCCCGUUUUCUCAGAGAAAACAGAAAACAUAAGAUGGCAACUUUAGCAAAUUAGUGCGACCAAACCUUCAAACUUACUUCAUUGAUAAACCAUUUUUGUUCUUUUUUUGUUUGUUUGUUUGUCCUUUUCUCCUUGCACAGUGGAAAAGGUGGUCCUCUUCUGGUCCAAGCCUCUGGAUCUCUUCCCAUUCAUUCCUACUCUUUAGGAUUUUUCUCGUUUACUUAGCUAUGGCUCCUUCCCACUGGCAUUUAGGCAUUCUCACAUCUUUUCUGUCUUAGAAGAAAAAAAUAAAACCAUCCUACACCAAUUUGCCGCUCUCUCUUCUGUUUCAUACCUCUCUGUCCACAGACAAGUGUUCAUGAAAAAGUUGUCUUUACUCACUGUUUAUUUCCGUGAACUUCCUGUUUAUUCUUCAACCAACUGCAACAUUUUAUCUCAACUGAAAUUACCAGUUUUAAAGGUCACUAACUACCACUUCAUUUCUAAAUCCACUGGGUAUUUCUCAGACCCUAUCUGACUUGACCUCUGUUCAGUCCAGUGUGACAGUUUAUCCACUUUCUUCUUGAAAUCUUCUUUUACUUGGGCUUCACUGACACCAGUGUUUCCUAGUAUUAAAUAAUUUACUUCUGUGGUCAUUCUUUUGAAUGUCUUUAGAGCUUUGCCUUCAUUCAUUCUCUCAUCCUUUUAUUUGUGUAUUUAUAAAGCAUUUAUUACAUGCCAGGCAGCAUACUAAGUAUUGGAGACUGAGAAUCUGAAGCAAUACCUGGACUCUUUCUUCAGAAAAAUAUACUCCCAAACAAACACUGAAAAUUUGGCAUACAUUUUCAAGCCUCUCACACAGUGUUAAAUACAUGCAUAUCACUCUAGAAUCUUGCUUCAGGGCCUCCGAAUUAUCUUAGCAGAAAGUUGUUUUUUUUUUUUUUGAGAUGGAGUCUCGCUCUGUCACCCAGGCUGGAGUGCAAUGGCACAGUCUUGGCUCACUGCAACCUCCGCCUCCUGGGCUCAAACGAUUCUGCUGUCUCAGCCUCCCAAGGAGCUGGGAUUACAGGCAUGUGUCAUCACGCCCAGGUGAUUUUUGUAUUUUUAGUAGAGACAGGGUUUCACCAUGUUGCCCAGGUUGGUCUUGAACUCCUGACCUCAGGUGAUCCACCCGCCUCAGCCUCCCAGAGUGCUGGGAUUACAGGUAUGAGCCACCAUGCCUGGCCAGAAACUUUUAUAGAAAUAUUUUUUAAAACUGCCCCAAGAGGCUUAAAUUUUCUUUUAAAGCCCAUGGAAAGUGAAAAUGAAAACAGUUUUUCCCAGAAAAAGAUUUUGCUACCGUUGGAAAUUUUCUUCAAGGCAUUAAGACUAAACAAGUUCUUUCAAGCUAACAUUUGUGAACAAUCUACUUUUCCCCUUCUCCCUCCAACCCCUACUCCCAUAUGCUUUGAUUGGUGUCAUAAGAAUACAAUUCAGGAAAGAGACUUAACCCAUCCAUGAAAAGGAGAAAAUGGAAUUAUAAGAGCUGAUAUCUUUACUUGAGAGUAGAUUGAAUAGGGUUCUCACAUCUACCAGGGUUCAAAUGGUGGAUAGGAUACCAACUUCAGAGAAGGGGUGGAGACAAGAGGUUGAGUAAUUCCUCAUUUGAUGAAGUUAUUUUCAUGUCAAGAGAAGGAAAUGGUCCUGGUGUUGAUAUCUUGUGGUUACAGGUAAUAGAAUAUCUGCAUUCUGGGCACUAUCCCUUUAUGUCAUCUAUGCUUUACAACCCUCUUCCAAAAUGGGUGGGUGCUAAGAAGAUCCAACCCCAUCUUCCUCAUGUAACAUAUAUUUUAAAAAAGAAUCUUCUAGCCAAAGACUUGUUAUUGGGGUUCUUUCGAUCGCUGGAAACAACUAGGGAAAAAAGAUGGUGAAUUUCAUGUUGCUUUUGGGGGCUAUUUUGUAGGAGAUAAAACAUUUGCCAAUGUUUUCACCCAUUGAAUACAUAUUGAGCAUCUACUCCAAUAGAGGGCUUGUAAAUGGUGAGUAAAAGCAGGUAAAACCCUUGUCCAUAAAGCUGAUGGUUUAAUGUUACAGAUCACCAGUAGCCAGAUAAUCACAAAUACAAAAAUGCAAAUGUAACAGGUGUUAGGAAGAAGCACAAGUUUCUAUAGAUCACCAGUAACCAGAUAAUCACAAAUAUAAAAAUGCAAAUAUAACAGGUAUUACAAAGAAGCACAAGUUUCUAUGAGAGUCUGUAACAAGAGAAUUUGAUUUUGUUAGAUCAGGGAAGUCUCCCUAAAGUGAUGCUCAAGCAGAAAUCUGAAGACAUGAAUAAAUGUUAACAAAUGAAGAGGGAAGGAAUGUGUGCCCCUGAUAAAAGGGCUAAUAUAUGCAAAGGACCUGUGGUAGGAAAGAACAUUCAAAUAUAGGUAUCAGAAGAAAGGCCAGUGGUCGGAGGGGAGAGAAGGGGGAGGAGAUGACACUUGAGACCAGGUUCGAGUUUUGAGAAGAUCUCCGUGGCCGCAAUUGGAGCAAGGAUUAGAGUGGGGCAGAGUAGACCUAAGACCAGUCAUCCAAGCAUGAGAUAAUGGUAACUAGGACCCAGGUAGUGGGGAUGGAAAUUUAAGACAUUGAUUGUAUUUAAUACUUGGUAAUUGGUUUUGAAUAUUAGAUUAGAUUAUAUAUAAUUGUUUGCUAGUAUUUAGCAGAAACAGUUUGACUCUUUUGGUAUUGAAAUAAGAAUUAGUGGUUUAAAAAAGUGUGUGUAUGUAUGUGUGUAUAUAUAAAAGUAUAUAUAUAUUUUUUACCUUUUGAAUAUUGCUAUAUGUAUUUAUUACCUAUUCAAAACAUUCUUAGUUCUAAAGCCUUUUGUAAAUAUUAAUUCAGGGAUUCUCAUUGAAUUGGUUAAGAGCAGAGACAAAUGCUAAGCAAAUAAAUCAAUUCAUAAUUUCCAAGUAGAAUUUUACCAAACCGUAGAUCUGAUUGGUCAUUGCAGCAAAGUUUCUUCUUUUUAUUUGGGAAGAGCCUAAAAAUAUUCUUCCCAUAUACCAAAGGACAAGGGGCAGUCAGUGAAGACACCUCCACUGCCCUCCACACAAUCUUCAAAAGUGCCUAGAGAAGGAUUUUGUUAUACAGAAAGAAUCAGAAACUAUAAAACAUGGUGUGUCGAAGUCUCAACCCCCGUUCUGCUGUCAUGAAGAUUUAGAGGAAUGGGGUUGACUUAUGAGAGGCGGGGCAGGCCUCCAACUCUCCGGAUUAAGGAAAAGUGUUGUAGGUUGAGGUAGCUGUGAAAGAGACUGUGAGAGUGAUUUGGCUAUAGGUGGCUUAAUGAGGAGGAUUCUUGGGUGUAAUAUGAGUGAGGGAGUAAAGGAAGCAGAAUUAGGCAAAAGAAGGAGUUAGUUGAGCUGUGAUGCAGUCACAACAAAGAUGUAAGGGGAUCCUACAAGGGCACUCCGGAGUUGGGAUGACCCUUCAGAGUUGUUGCAAGUUGGGGCAAGGGCACAAAAGUACAUGUACUUUUAAAAAGUCAUGGAAGACUGUACACUGACGCACAAGCCAGUCCCUCCUUGAAGCCUAUUACAUCCAUCAAAUAUGAAUAAGCCUUACUUUUGAGAAAAUUGAGUCUUGGACCUUUGAGAAUCAAUCUUCAAACUAAAAAGUACCUCUGUGAUUUUAAAAGCAAUUUUUAUAACCAGGGUUGAGAUUAUUUAGCUUGUUUAGAUGGGCUAAUGGAACAGUCUUUUGUUAGUAUUCUGCAUGAUUCCCUUACUGACAUUCAUUUUAUAACCGUACCCAACUCUAAUUCAAAUGCAGAUUUAGAUGUGAUACUUAAAGACCUGUGGUAAAAUUGCAGGAAGAGGGUGUUUGUCUUUCUCAGUGUGUUUUCUGUAAUAGUGAAGGUUUAUUGGUUUCUCACUUGCGUGCCACCAGCAUGCUUUGAAUAACAAGACUACUUACGAUCUCUAUACAUAUGGCUGAAUUUCUAAGGUGUGCAGCUUCUUCAUAUUAAUUGGUUUAGGACAUUCAUAAAUUACAGCACCCAGGUGGGUAGGUAUAAUUAGCUAAAAUUUUAUUUUUUGCUUCAAAAAUCAUGGUUCAGUAGCAUUCACAACCUUAAGAGCACUAGCAGCUGUAGCGUAGGAGUCACGAAUAUAACACAUCUCAAAAGACAUGGGAAGUAUGAACAUCUUAACCUUAAGACAAGUAAAGAGGGGUGUCUGUGUAUGUGUGUGUGUCUGCGUGUAUUUAUGCAUGUGUGUAAAAUAUCAGAAUAUUCAGAAAUCCAAAAGGUAGCAUUUUGAGGAGGGCACAAUAAAAUGUACACAUAUCUGACCGUAUUGGAGAAGAAUACAGGAAACUAUACAAAGAUGUCUGUAUCAGUUACAAUGCUUUUGGCAGCAAGUAACAAAUCCAGACUCCAAGAAGAUUAAAUAGUAAAAUUAACUCAUUGAUGACAGGAACUCCAGCUAUAGGGUAGGCUUUGAGGCUUGGUUGCCUUUAUUCACUGGCACAGUAAUGUCAUCAAGGGCACAGGUUCUUUGCAACUCUCUGUCAUAUUUUAUGUUACAAUUGGUUGGUGAAAGUAUGUAAUCAUGACUUCAACCUCAAGCUGUAGCAAGACAGCUGCAGCAGUUCCAGGCAUCACAUCCAGAGCUGGCAACAUUUGCUCACAUUGUUAGAAAACUUCUAGAAUCCUCCCAGCAGAGUUCCUCAGUGUGUCCUAUUGGCCAGAUUCUAAAUGUGCCCAUUUCCUUUUUUUGCUUUUAGAGACAAGGUCUCACUCGGUUGCCCAGGCUGGAGUGCAGUGGCAUGAUUAUGGCUCACUGUGAUCUCAAACUCCUGGGCUCAAGCAGGGUAGCUGGGAAUACUAGCAUGAGCCACUAUGCCCAGCUAAUUAAAAAAUUUUUUUGUGUGUGUAGAGACAAGGUCUUGCUAUGUUGACCAGGCUGGUCUUGAACUGCUUGCCUCAAUUGAUACUCCCACCUUGGCUUCCCAAAACGCUGGGAUUACAGGCAUGAGUUAACGCACCUGGCCUUGUGCCAGUUUCUUGAACCAAGCACUGGCAAAGAAAAUGAAUUACUUUUAGUCUUCUAAGUCCUCUCCCUGUAAUUGAGGGCAGGUUCAGCUUCCAAUGUUGAUGUGGGGGUGGGGGAAGGGCACAUGACAAAUCAAGCUUCUGUUAGAAGGAAAAAAGGAGAAAUGGAUGCUAGGGUAGGCAAACUGAAUCUUCUGUAAUACAUCUAUUGUCUUCAAAGCUCUUUGAUUAGAACAGUGCACACCAAAAGUAGGGGGGCAGUGAAUGAGAAAGCUGCUUCAUAUUCUACCAGUGGACCACAGAGUUAGAAAGCUACUGACCUAAUAGGCUCAUUAAGAAGUCAUUCUUUUGUCAGGUAGCAUUUAACAAUAUAUUUGACAAAGAAGGUUAAAGGAGCGUGGAUUGGCUGCUAGGAGAAGAAACUAGAGCUGUUUUGGAGUUGAUGAAAGUUCACCUCAUCCCUUUAGCAGUGGUUCUUAAAAUAUGGACCUCCCAAAAUCUGAAUCAGAAUUUCCCAGGGUAAUUAUUAAAAAAUGCAGAUUCAUAGGCACUGUCCCAGACUUACCUUAUGAAGUUGGGGUAGGGUGUUAGGAGCCUGCAUUAAUUAGCUCUUUGAUUAAUGCACACUGGCAUUUAAGAUUCACUGCUCUAUAGACUAGUAUCAUAUAUAACAAUAAUGAACUUCUUUCCACUGUGCUACAAAUAAACCAUUCAUGCUGGAUUGGUCAAACAAAAUCAAUUUGUAACAUAUUUGAAGACCAGUGCCAUGAGCUAAAGGGUCACUCUAAGCAAGGAGCCCAGAUCCUGAAAUAAACUUAUAUACUGUACCACUGAAAGAUUCUGGCAGUGGCUUUCUCUAACACCCCUCCCCCAAAUCUCCCUGCAUUUUAAAUCUCCAGAUAGCUGACUGUCUCUGUCAUUCAAGCUAGCAUUUUACCUCAUCCAAAUAAUAUGUUCUGUGUGUAUAUAGGUUAGCAUGAAUGAAAUCUCUACUACUUAGCUAAUGAAGGGGCUGUGAGAUCUUACUUUUUAGAGGAACUUUCCAGAGUCAUCUUCACAUUCAAUGUUCUUAUUGUUGCCCUAUUCCUUAAAAAAAAAAUCCACUUAAUGACCAAACAGUUUUAGGGUAUUUGUAAACAGAAGUGUUAGAGGAACUGUUUCUCUUGUUUCCAUAGCGGGUAUGAGUUUCUACUCCAGUCCGUAGGGAGAAAGAGGAGUGAGAAAUACUUUCGGCCACUUCCCCUCCUCAGGGUAGGAGGGAGACUAUAUGAUCUGUGAGUUGAGGAUAAGGAAAUAGGCAUGUUUGGCUUCUCUCCCCUUCUGAUCUUCACAUUGGCAGAGGGGGGCAUGUCUGGUUCACUCAUACAUGCAGGAAGUUUAUUGCAGUAAGCCUAUUCUGGUAGGGAAGGCCUACAGUUGUCCUGCCCUGCCUGUGUCUGGGAAUACUGAAUUAUGUGGUAAAGUAUCUGUUAGGUCACCCACUGAGAUAACACAUCUAAGGCAUGCCCUUUGAGGUAGGUUUUAUUAGUUCUAAAGCUGAUACUUUGAUCUUCGUCUGCCUUAUUCCCAUUUUUAUCUGUGCAUUGAUCUGACUUUUCUCCCUUUUUGGGGAGGAGAAGAAAAGGGUGAUAUUUAUUAGCCCCCCUGGAACCUAGAAUAGAAUCAUGAUCAAAUUUCCUUGUCUCCAGGGGCACACCUGUGAGGUGAGGGAGCACGAUGGGGAAUAAGGCUCAAGGAAGAUGAUAUGACUCUGGCUUCCCCUUAGAAAUUGUGCUUUACUCAAGCUUUGGAGCUUGAGGGUGCCUUUUGGCAGGGACUGCAAAAGUUAUCUGUCUUUAUCUUGUCUUAUAAUUAGUGGGAGAAAGUUCAUAAUUAUGAUUUUAUGAGCAUGAAUCCAUUUGUUAACAAAAGUAAACGUCCCAAUUGUGUAUAUUUUUGGAAGUCUCCAAAGAUCUUACUUAGUGUGGGCUAGGGAAGGUUGUACCCAUCUAGUGGAAUGCUUUUUCCAUUCUCCACUUUAUUACUCACAUUGCCCUGUCUGUGCCAGAGUCAUCCCGAGGCUCCCUGCAGAUAUCAUCAUGAGAAGCCAUGGUAGACACAGCAUACAUAUUGCCUACCCAGUAUGUAUUUAUUCUUUCUUUCUUGUUAUUGAAACCUCAGUUUCGCUUGGGAUAACAAUUGCCAGCCUCAGUCUAUGAGUCAUGAUUCAUAUGUGUCAGUCAUAACCAUCUUGUUUCAUUUUGCAAGACCCUCAUUGGCCUUCUUGCAGAUGUGGAUGGUUAUGUGACCCAGUUCUGGUGGAUGAAUCAUAAGAGGAAAUCUGCUGGAGGCUUCUGGGAAGAUUUUCUUUUCUGAUAACAGUGACAGAUGUUUCUUAGCUCUUCCUAUCUUGAACAUGGACAUACUAUCUUGGCUGCACCAUCUUACCUCAUUCUUAUGACAGAACAAAAUACACUAUUCAUGAAGUCUGCAAAGAACAUUGAGACACUGGGUGCCCAGCCAUGUAAGUUUAACGCUGCCCCAUACAGUUUUCACAUAGAUAAGUAGGGCUACUAUUGAAUAUUACACAGAAUAAUCUUUUUUCCCAGGAUCAAAAUUAGGUACAUGAUCCCAGAACCAACUGUGCAGCUUACAUUUAACCAAUGGCUGACACAUUGCCUGAUACAUAAAAGGCAAUACUACAACAGAAUUUGUGGAAUGAGAGAAAAAUGAAUCAUUGAAAAUAUGUAUGGGUGAAUGAAGUAACUAAUGAGCCCAAAUACCAUUUAUCAUGAAUUUCUAAUAUGAUGUAGUUUGGUUUCGUUCACUGCUGAGUACAAACAAAAUAGUACUGUACUCAGCACUAAAAACAAACAACAUGGAUGAACCUUAAAAACAGUAUGCCAAAUGAAAGAAGUCACACCCAAAAGAGAACAUCGUGUAUAAUUCCGUUUGUUUGAAACUAUAGGAAAGGCAGACUUAUUCCACGUUGGUAAAUCUUCAUCUCAUGGGUGUUUCUCUCAGUGGUUGCCGGGGCCAGGGGCUUGGAUACAGGGAGGAUGGAGUGGGAGGGGCACAAAGAAUCCUUUUAGGAUAAUGGAAAUGUUCUGUAUCUUGGUUGUGGUGGUGGUUGCAUAGGUGUCAAAAGUUACUGAGUAUGUGCAUUUUAUUGUGUGUAAAUUAUACCUCAAUAAAUUUGAAUUUUCAAAAGAAAGCUCACUUCUUCAGGACCAAUAGUAGGGAGAGGCACUGAUGCUGAGUGUGACUCGUAAUUCAUGCAGCCGUGAGAGAUCCUCAUAGAACAGGAGGACAGAGGUGAAAAGGUUAUCUGCCAGACAAAUUUUUCUGAGUCUACAAGGAAGUGGCCUUAGACCAGGUCAUUUUUGUAGGUUCCCUGCAUCUUUGUAGGCUCCUUUGUAGGCUUCUCUCUACUUGAGCAAGAAAAGGCCCAAAUUUUGUUGUAGAUCAAGACUUAGAAGGUUCUCUUGGAAUGAGGUCUUCAAUACUUGAACCUUUGGAUUUUUUAAAACCGAAAAAAACAAUAUCUGCACAAAUACCUACUAAGGCUUUUAUCUAGAACCUGCUCUAAGAUAUAAUGAAAUCAGUCUACUUUUUGAUCUAAGAAGCUUUUUUUUCCUAAAAAAGAUAUAUUUUCUCAAUUGUAAAAGUAAUCCAUAAUUACUGUAAGAAAAGUUAGAAAACACAAAUUUGCAAAGGCAAAAAUAAAAAUCAUCCAUUUUCACUACCCAGCGAUAACUAUGAUGACCCCUUGACAGACAUCCUUUCAGAUUAUCAAAUUAAAUUAGUUGUCUUUGAAUCAGUUAAACAUACCCAUUAAGCUACCAGGAAGUGACCUGUGAAUAAGGGAGGCUUUCAGCCUCUCUGUAAUCAAAGACUACUUUCACUUAGUACCUUACUAGAAGGCAUAUCUGUAAAAUGUGAGUCUUACUAAAUGUACCAGUUGCUAAUAUGGUAGCACAUACCCUAACAAUCCUUUUAAUAUAUAUUUCUCAGUGCUAUUUCUUGGAGAGCAUGGUUUCUAGGAUUCUAGAUUUAACUUUUAUUUUUCCAUGCCUUGAUAUGAGACCCACAGAGGCCAUAGUCCUUAAAAGACAUGAACAGUGUUUCCCUCAGGUAUGUGAAGGAAGAGAAGUGUGAAAUUGGAGGAUAUGGUCACCUUAUCUCAGGCUUUGACAGGCCCCCUCCCUGGUGUCUAAAACCCAUGAGGUACCUCUGCCAAAAGGAAAGACAAAGAACCUUUGCUGAGCUAUUUAUUGCCUUCUGUGUGUUGGGAGAGGGGGUAGUGUUGGUGGCUGAGUGUGAAAACUCCUGGGACAGUCAUCUUUUUAUUUCCACUAGUGCCCACCACAGUGCCUGAAAUGCAGUAGUUUAGUGGUGUAUUGAAUGAAGGUAUUAACAAUUGUGUUAAUAAUCAAGGUCAAAGAGAACUCAGGUCAUGUGAGGUCAUAUGUUGAUACCAGCUCACUUCUGAUGACUCUUAACUGUGUAAAAGACCCAGACCUUAGCCAUGGCUGUUACCCUUCCAGGACAUGUCCCUAGCCCGGUAACCCAGUGGAGUGGAGGUCGGUACAGGAAUAAUCUGCAGACCAUUACAAGAACAUGGCUGCAUUCUGUAGGCCCAUGCCAUCCAGUCCUGCACUUCUGUACUGGGGUGGCUUUCCAUGGCAAAAGUUUGUCACCCGCUAUCUUGGGAACCUUUUGGAGAAGGACAUGCAUGUAUAUGGAGCAUAGUUUUUCAAGUAGGCCUCAAGACUUUCUCCAUCAGAAUCACCUGUAUAGUGUCUUUUAAAAAUAUAGAUUCUUGAUUCUUAUUCAAGAUUUACUGAAUUGGAAUCUUUUGGUCCUGAGAUGCAGAUGAUUCUUAUGUACCCCAUUUGAGAACCCAGGACUAAGUAGUGUAUUUCAAGCUUUUUGGACUCUGACCUAGAGUUAGAAAUAAGUUUAGUAAAAACAAUAUUUGUACUUACUAGAGCAGUGUAGUCUUACAGUUUCUAUUUGUUGUUGUUUUUUUGUUUUUGUUUUGUUUUGUUUUUUUCUGUUUAAUUUGCUGGCUGCGACCCAGUAAUUUCUUUUCUUUUUUUUUUUUUUUUGAGACCGAGUCUUGCUCUGUUGCCCAGGCUGGAGUGCAGUAGCGCGGUCUCAGCUCACUGCAACCUCCGCCUCCCGAGUUCACACCUUUCUUCUGCCUCAGCCUCCCGAGUAGCUGGGACUACAGCCGCCUGCCACCAUGCCCAGCUAAUUUGUUGUAUUUUUAGUAGAGAUGGGGUUUCACUGUAUUAGCCAGAAUGGUCUCGAUCUCCUGACCUCGUGAUCCGCCCGCCUCAGCCUCCCAAAGUGCUGGGAUUACAGGCAUGAGCCACUGCGCCCAGCUCUGUGCUUAUUCUCAUCUACAUGUUUAAAUAUAAGCAUGUAUUCAUGUACUGUUAGUGUACUUAAAAACACCUUGAAAGUAAAAUAUGGUUCUAAAACAUAAAUCAUCUUUUUAUAUAUGCAAACAAUAACCAGAUAAAAUACAGUGGAAAAACAAAUUUCAUUCACAGUUGUGGUAAUUUUUUUUUUUUUUUGAGAAGGAGUCUCGCCCUGUCACCGAGGCUGGAGUGUAGUGGCACGAUCUCAGCUCACUGCAACUUCCACCUCCUGGGUUCAACUGAUUCUCCUGCCUUGAGUAGCUGGGAUUACAGGCGCCCGCCACCACGCCCAGCUAAUUUUUGUAUUCUUAGUAGAGAUCGGGUUUCACCAUGUUGGUCAGGCUGGUCUCGAACUCCUGACGUCGUGAUCUGCCCACCUCACUCUCCCAAUGUGCUGGGAUUACAGGCGUAAGCCACCGUGUCCAGCCGGUAAUUAUUUUUAAAGGGUAAGAUACCCAGAAGUAAACUUAAGAAAUGUGUAAGAUCUAUAUGAAGAAAACGUAAAGAUUGUACUGAGGGUCAUUCAAGAAGAUUUCAAUACACAGAUAUAUCUUGUCACACUCGGGCACUCCAGCCUGGGCGACAGAGUGAGGGGAGAGACCCUGUCUCAAGAAAAAAAGAAAAAGGAAGAUAUAUGUUGAUAGGAACAUGUCCCCCCUACAGUACAAGCAAGGGUAAAAAAAUGUUAACUGGUAAAAAUAUUUGUAACAGGUAAAAUAGUUAAUGGGCUAAUUUCUGACUAUUUGGAGUGCUUUUUAAAACCAAGAACUAACAACCAAAGGAAAAUUGGUAAAGGAAUGAACAGCUAUUUCAUCAAAUAAGUAUAAGUAGUCAGUACACUCACACAAAAAUGGUCAUCUCUACUGAGAAUUUAAGAAAUGCUAAUAAAAACAAAAAUGAGAUAUUUUUACCUGAUAUAUUUACAAAGAUGAAAUCGUUUGAUAAUAAUGUCUGUUGUUGAAGAAGUGUGGUAAAAAUAUAUAUUUAUUAGAGCAUAUUUAAAUCAUUUCAAAACAUUAGAAAAUGAUUAAAAUAUAUUCUAUUCAUAUAAUCCGUAUGGCCAACCCUUCCAAAAUAUUCUUUGGAUAUAUUUUAAUUUCAUGAAAAAAUAUUGUUGCUGAUAUAUUGUGAAGUACAAAAAAUAUAAUACAAAAUUACAUAUUUAAUAUGCAGUCCAUGUAGAAAUAAUAUAUGUGUGUACAGGAAAGAUCCUCAAAGCAAAUGAUUAGUUAUGUCCCCUUUUUUUUGUUUUUUUGGGAGAGGGUCUCACUUUGUAGCCCAGGCUGGAGUGCAGUGGUGCAAUUUCGGCUCACUGCAACCUCUGCCUCCCAAGCUCAAGCGAUCCUGCCACCUCAGCCUCCUGAUCCCGAGUAGCUGGGACUAUAGGCAUGUGCCACCAUGCCUAGCUAAUUUUUUUUUGUAUUUUGGUAGAGACGAAGUUUCUCCAUGUUGGUCAGACUGGUCUUGAACUCCUGAGCUCAAGUGAUCUACCUGUCUUGGCCUCCCAAAGUGCUGGGAUUACAGGCAUGAGCCACCAUGCCCGGCCCGUUAUGCCCUUUUGCUUUAUAUUUUUCGUUUUUCAAAUUUUCUUUCUUUUUUUUUUUAGACGGAGUCUCGCUCCGUGCCCAGGCUGGAGUGCAGUGGCACGAUAUCGGCUCACUGCAACCUCCACCUCCCUGGUUCAAGCAAUUCGCCUGCCUCAGCCUCCCAAGUAGCUGGGAUUACAGGUGCACGCCACCACAUCCAGCUAAUUUUUUUGUAUUUUUAUUAGAGACGGAGUUUCACCAUUUGGUCAGACUGGUCUUAAUCUCCUGACUCAGGCAAUCUGCUCGCCUCGGCCUCCCAAAGUGCUGGAAUUACAGAUGUGAGCCACCACACCUGGCCCAUUUUUCAAAUUUUCUAUGUUGACCAGUCAGAAACAAACAGUGAAAAUUAAUAAAUAAAAAAAAAGAGACCUCAUGUGAUCCUGUAAGCAUUGGUGUAAUGGUAGCAUACUCUGUACUCUGAUAUGUCUUGGAUAUCAUCCAUACCAAUGAGUAUAGAGAAAUAUUUUGUUCUUUUAAUGCCAUUAUAAUAGCAAAACAGAGUCCCUAUGGAUGACCAUUUAAGUUGUUUCUCAUCUUUGCUCUUAUCAGUAAUGGUGAAAUAAAUAAUUUGUACCUAUCCCAUUUCACAUGUAUAUAACUCUUAACCUGUAGAGUACAUUCCUAGAAGUGGAAUUUCUGGGUCAAAAGAUUUUUGCUUUUGUAACUUUGAUAUAUAUUGCCAAAUUACCUUUCAUAGAAUUCGACCUAUCAGACACUCGUAAGUAAUGUAGAAUAAUGCCUACACCCUCACCAACACUGUUACCAAACUCUAAGAUGAGGCUGAAUAUCUUUUCUUCAGAGACAUUUGUAUUUCUUUUUCUGGGAACUGCCUGUUCAUAUCUUUCCAUCUUUAUAUGUUAAGGAAAUUAUCCCUUUGUCUGGAGAUUAAUUGCAAAUACUUGACCUAUGUUGUUAUUUGUCUUUUGACUUUGAUUAUGAUGAUUUUUGCCUUGUAGAAAAUUUUGAAAAAUUUAUAUAAAUUUUAUUGCAUUGGUAUUCUUUUUUUUUUUUUUUCUCUGAGAUGGAGUCUCACUUUGUCGUCCAGGCUGGAGUGCAGUGGUGCGAUCUUGGCUCACUGUAACCUCUGCCUCCUGGGUUCAAGUGAUUCUCCUGCCUCAGCCUUCUGAGUAGCUGGGAUUAUAGGCACAUGACACCACACCCAGCUAAUUUUUGUGUUUUUGGUAGAGUCAGGGUUUCGCCAGGCUGGUCUCGAACUCCUCAUCUCAGGUGAUCCACCCACCUUGGCCUCCCAAUGUGCUGGGAUUACAGGCAGCCACUACACCCAGCCUGCAUUUGUAUUCUUACACAUUCUGUCUUUGAGGUUAUAAAAUAAUUCUUCCAUGGUUUCUUUUUGGUCAGAAUUUAAAUGUUUUAUUUGUUUAUUUAAUUUUGUUUUAAGAGAUGAGGUCUCACUCUGUUGCCCAGGCUGGAGUGCAAUGGUGAGAUCAUAGCUCACUGUAAUUUCCAACUUCUGGGCUCAAGCGAUCCUCCCACCUCAGCCUCCCUAGUAGUUGGGACUACAGGCAUGCACCAUCAUGCUUGGCUAAUUUUUAAAUUUUUUUGUAGGGAUGGGAUCUCACUGUGUUGCUCAAGCUUGUCUUUGAACUCCUGGAUUCAAGUGAUCCUCCCACCUCAGCCUCCAUAGUAGCUAGAACUACAGACACGUACCACUACACCUGGCUAAUUUUUGUAUUUUUUACAGAAACGAGAGUCUCGCUAUAUCACCCAGGCUGGUCUCAAACUCCUGGCCUCAAACAAUCCUCCCACCUCAGCCUCCUAAAAUGCUGGGAUUACAAGCAUAAGCCACUGUGCCCAGCCUAAAACUUAAAUUUUUUGAGGUGUGGAAUCCAAAUUUGUUUUUCUAGGUGGCUACCCAGUUGACCUAACUCAAUUUAUUGAAUAAUAUUUAUUUUCCUCUACUAAUUUAAGAUACCACCUUUAUUAUAUAAUAAAUUCUAAAUAUGUUUAUUUUGGGAAUUUCUGUUCUGUUUCACAGAAUUGUGUGUCAACUCAUUUGCCAGUACCAUUUUUAUUUUUUAUAGAUUUGUAAUAUAUUUUAAUAUGUCAUGGGGCUUUUCUAUAUUCAUUAUUCUUUAUUUAGGUAAUUUAAAAAAAUUACCUUGUUAGAGUAUGUUAAAUUUAUAGAUUAAGGACAAUUGACAUCUUUAUAAAGUUUACACUUUCUAUAAAAGUAUAUGGUAUGCCUUGUGCAACUUUCUUUUGUGUCAUAAGUAUUUUAGAGUUUUCUUUAUGUAGAUCUUGUGCAUGUGUUGUAUUUAUUGCCAUUUUGUCUUAUUUUGGUGGCCAUUAUAAUUGAGUAUAUCUUGCAUUAAAUCUAAUUGGUUGUUGUUUGUAUAUAUGAGAGCUAUUUUAAUUGUGUAGCCAGCCAAUUUACUAAAUUUCCUUAUCACGUGUGAUAGUUUUUCAGUUGAUUACCUUGCAUUUCCAGGUAUACAUUGAUUCUGCAAAUAGUUGUAAUUUUACCUCCUCCUUCCCAAUGUUUAAACUGUAUUUUAUUUUCUCUUGUUUAGUUGUAUUGCAUGUAUAGGUAGGUAUUAGUUUUUUUCUUUUUCCCUUUUAUAAUUCAUUUUUACUGCUUUUGUCUUAUUUCUUUCCUCCUGCUUUUGUUUGGUUUCUUGUUCUUAGACUUUUUCAGUUGGAUGUUAAUUUUAUUCUGAGCAUUGCUUUAGUUUUAUCCCAGAGCUCAUGAUACGUAGAAUUUUUGUUACAAGUGAUUUUCUAGAUAAUUUGAAAUUUCAGUUUCGAUUUCUUAUUUGACCUAAAGAUUAUUUGAGUUCUUUGGUCCUAUUACAUAUUUCUUUUUAGUCACAUUUUCAUCAGAAUAUGUCUUCUGUAGUAAUUCUACUUUUUGGAAUUGUUGCAGUUUUUUGGUGGAUUAAUACAUAGUCAAGUUUUGUAAAACCUCACAUUAGAGUUUGAUAUUAUCCAAGAAAACUUACAGAAAUAUAGUCAGUUAUUAGUAUACUGUUGUGUAAAGUGAAAUCCAGUAAUGGAUUGACCUCAUCUAACAAAGGCAAAAGUGGAAGUGUUUUUGCAGUUUGGAAACCAUGAAUUUUAUUUUCUCUAGAUAAGCUGCAGAUUAGCUGGUAGCUAGCAAAGAGGCCAGUAAGGAUAUUCUGAUCUCAGGCACCUAGAUGGGUCAACAAAGAAAGCAAUUUCAGUUAUCUAAGGACUCUUUAGAAGACAGAAUUUUGCUGUUGGCAUGCGUGACAGGCUAUCUCUGUACAUCUGGCGGUGUACUUUGUUUUCUCUGCCGUCUUUGUUAUUCCAGGUCUGCACCAUUUCCUUCUCAGAAUAUCUAAUAUGUGUCCAUUAGAUGAACCAUAAUGGUGUGUUAGGGUUUUGUAUAUCCUUGCUUUUUUUUUUUUUAAUGUUACUGAUCUGUCAUGGACUUAGAGAAAUAAAUUAGUUUCUUACCUACCAUCUUUUUUUUUUUUUUUGAGACGGAGUCUUGCUCUGUCACCCAGGCUGGAGUGCAGUGGCGCCAUCUCGGCUCACUGCAAGCUCCGCCUCCUGGAGCUUUCUCCUGCUUCAGCCUCUGGAGUAGCUGGGACUACAGGCGCCCGCCACCACACCCGGCUAACUUUUUGUAUUUUUGGUAGAGACGGAGUUUCACCGUGUUAGCCAGGAUGGUCUCGAUCUCCUGACCUCGUGAUUCGCCCGCCUCGGCCUCCCAAAGUGCUGGGAUUACAGGCGUGAGCCACUGCACCCUGCCCCAUGUUUUUCUUUUAUUUCUCUGUAAAACCUUUAUAGUUUGUGCAUAAUAUUGCUACAGUUAUUUGAUCCAGAAGUAUUAAUAACUUCAUCCUUAUCAUGAACUGUAACCUUUAGCAUUAUAAAGUGCCCUUUUUAAAAUUUGGUUUAAUACAUUUUGGCCAAAAUUCAGCCUUGUCUGUUAUUAAGAUCUUGAUCCUUGCUUUUUGUUUGAGUUUUUCUGGUAUCUCUACUUUUUCGUUGAUCUUCAACCUUUCUUAAUCAUUUUAUUUUAGACCUGUCUCUCAUACAACAUAGAUUUGAGUUUCACUUUGUGAUUCAGUCUGAAGUUCUUUUUCCCUUAAUAGUUGAGUUUGUUUUCAUUUAUUGAUUUGAUAUGUUUGGACUUAGUUCUGUCAGAUUAUUUUGUUAUACUUUUGCUAUUUAUACCUUUAAAGUAUAGUUUACUAUAUGGAAAGUUUGCUUUGUUUUAUUCCUUCUUUUCAUAAUUAGAAAGCUUUGUGUUUUUGUUCCUGUAGUUAACUUUGUAAUACAGAUUGUAUAAUCAGUAUUUCUGUUUUCUAUUUAGCCAGUAUCUCAGUAUCUGUAAUUCACUUUUAUAAGUAAUAACAGAAUUAGUAUAUUUCCUUUCCUUUAUUCUAUCCCUCAAUUCUAUCAAUUUUGUUUUCUUUCUUAGGGUUUACCUUUGUACCAUUAAAUAUCCAUGUACCAUUCUUACUCAAUUUGUCAUUAUUGCAGAAAGCUUUCUGACUCCCAUCUUCUCUUACUAACCUACCCUGAUACUGUCAGAUCAUUCUUCCUAAAACCACCAUUUUCUAAAAUCAUUAUUCUUUCUAAAACCAAUCUUCCUAAAAUCAUCAUUCUUCCUAAAAUCACCAGUAUCAUAUCACAAAUCCUCAGCGAUAUCUCUGACCCCACAAAGUCUGUAUUCUCUUCUGGCUUUCAAAACUCCGUAACUCAACCUCAUUCUACUCACUCAACUUUAUUUCCUCUACAACUUCUCAAUGAGUCUGCCCUCACUGUCCAACAAUUGAGCUGAGAAUAUAAGAAGGGAAGGGCUUCAGCCAGGCUAGUGCAGUCUGCUUUGUGCCAACACUGGGGUGAUGACUGCCCUAGUCUAGCUGAAGCUUUUCCCUUCUUUCUACACCCAGCUCAAGUCCCAGGUCCAUAAAACCUUUAGAAACUCUUCAGAAACUCUUUAGAGCUUCAGAAGCUCUUGAGAAUUGGAAGAUGUUUACACCCAAGUUCAAGGAUUACUUCCAUCCCAUUUCUGGUCUAUGUCAGGGGCCUCUGUUAACUAGGAACUCAGGAACUCUCAAAGCAGCACUACUCUGUUUGUAACAUUCUGGCUUAUUAUUCAUUGAAAUGUGAGAAACUUUGGACCACUGACUUAAUUCUGCCCUUUGCAGUAAUAGGACUUCUCACAUCUGGGAAGACAAGCAUUUUACCUUUCCUUAGGCUUCCCCAGGUGAAAACACCACCAGUUCCUUCAGUUGUUACUCAUAUAACAUGAUUCCUGGACCCAUCACCAGCUUGUGGCAAAACUUGGGUUUAUCACCAUUCCACUUAAAAUUCAGUUCACAAGAUUUUUGUAGAUACGAUCUAACCAGUGCUGAAUCUGAUGGGACUGUGCCUUCCUAUGAUCAGAGUACUCUACUUUUUAAAUCAACCCAAGGCAGCAUUUGUUUAUUAGUCACUGCCUACUUUUACACUGCAUUUUUGUUGUUGUUGUUUUGAGACAGGGUCUCACUUUGUCACCCAGGCUGGAGUAUAGUGGCACAAACAUGGCUCACUGCAGCCUCGACCUCCUGGGCUCAAGCAGUCCUCCUGCUUCAGCCCCACAAGUAGCUGAGACUACAGGCACACACCACCACGCCCAGCUAGUUUUUUUAUUUUUUGUAGAGAUGGGGUUUUGCCAUGUUGGCCAGGCUGGUCUUGAACUCCUGAGCUCAAGUGAUCCACCCACCUUGGCCUCCAGAAGUGCUGGCAUUACUGGUGUGAGCCACCGUGCUGGCCAAUUUUUUGUUACCUACAUCCCAAGAGCCUAUGAUGUGCUAUCAUACAUCAGAUCCCUAUCACACACAGGGGCGUAAGAUGAGUAAGACAAAAUCCCUGCUCUCAAGAAACAUAUGUUCAUUCUAUGAAAUACCUAACCACGGAUUUUCAGAACUGUCGAGGUCAUCACAGACAAAGUCUGAGUAACUGUCACAACCCAGAGUUGCCUAAGACCUGAGUGCUAAAGGUAAUGUGAUAUCCUGCAUAGGAAUCUGGGAGAGAAAAAGGAUAUUAGGGAAAAACUAAGGAAAUUUGAAUAAAGCAUGGAUUUCUGUUAGUAAUAGUACAUCAGUACUGGUGCAUUGUGACAAAUGUACCAUCUCAAUAUAUUAAUAAGAAGAGAGACUGGCUGUGGGCUAUAUGGGGACUCUGUGUACUAUCUUAGUAAUAAUUCUGUACAUCUAAGCUGUUCUAAAAUUAAAAAUCUUAAGAAAAAAAAAGGACAGCCUGGGUAACAUGGCAAACCCCCACCUCUACAAAAAAUUGUAAAAAUGAGCCAGGCAUGUGGUGGUGUAUGCCUACGAUCCUAGCUACUCAGGAGGCUGAAGUGGGAGAAUUUUUUGAGCCCAGGAGGUCGAGGCUGCAGUGGGCCAUAAUGGCAACACUGCGCUCCAGCCUGGCAGACAGAGGGAAGAUAUGUUUGACAUAGUUUAGAUAUUUGUCCCCACCCAAAUCCAUGUUGAAAUGUAAUCCCCAAUGUUGGAGGUGGGGCCUAGUGGGAGGUGUUUGUCAUGGGGGCGGAUCCCUCAUGGCUUGGUGCUGUCCUUGUGAUAGUGAGUUCACUUCAUGUGAGAUCUGGUUAAAGUGUGUGGCACCUUCGCCUACCCCCACUUGUUCCCACCAAGUGAGAUUCCUGCUCCUGCUUACCCUUCUGCCAUGUUUCUUGAGGCCUCCCAGAAGCCAAGCAGAUGCCAGCUCCAUGCUCCCUGUACAGCCUACAGAAGCAUGAGCCAGUUAAACCUCUCUUCUUUAUAAAUUACCCAGUCCUGAGUAUUUCUUUAUAGCAAUGCGAGAACGGCCUAACACAAGGUUCUAGUAGGGAGAAACUAGCAAGUAAAUGGAUACAAGACAGUCACUCUUACAUUUUUAAUUACAGGUCCCUUUGAGUAGACAAAACUUUAAGAAUAGGGGAAAUCAUUUACAUAUAAAUUGCAUACCAUGUCAAGGCUUCAUGGACUUAAGAACUAAUAAAUUCAGGGUGGUGAUGCUUACCUGGGAGGCAGAGGGUGUUAUGGGAGGAAACAGAGUGGUAGUCAGGCAAGGAUAGGAUAGCAGGUGUCCUUCCCAUAUGAUCCCUGAGCCUGGUCCUUAUGCUGUCAACUGACUGUACUUGCUACUUUAAAAUCUAAGGGAUUGAAAAAUGAAUGUUGAGUGAUUCCUAAACUAACACGAUAUUAAACCGAGUUCCAGACUACACCAGCCUAAUUUUAUUUAGUGGCAGACUCUAGCUCUGUUGCCCAGGCUGGAGUGCAGUGGUGUGAUCUCAGCUUAUUGCAGUCUCCACCUCCUGAGUUCAAGUGAUUCCUGUGCCUCAGUCUCCCAAGUAGCUGGGACUACAGGUACGUGCCACCACACCCAGCUAGUUUUUGUACUUUUAGUAGAGACAGGGUUUCACCAUGUUGCCCAGGCUGGCUUCAAACUCCUGGCCUCAAGUGAUCCACUGGCCUCAGCCACCCAAAAUGCUGGGAUUACAGGCAUGAGCCACCGUGCGGGCCUCUACUAGCCUAAUUGCUGCAAGUGUGCUAGUCGUAUUUAUCAAACUAGAUGUAAGCUGCUUGAGGCUAGGGAGGCUUUUACCACGUGCCUGAGAGGCAGUUGUUGGUUAUAAACUUGCCACAUGGGGCUCAGAUCACCUCAAGGCAAAGCUACCUGGCCUGGUUUGGAAUGCUUUUUCUUUUUCUUAAAGUCAGCCCUAAAGAACAUGGUAUAUUAACUCUUGAGGGCUGCUAAACCCUGGCACUGUGCCAGAACAAGUGACAAUACGAUAGUUUUGAGACUAAUUUCAAAAAUGUUUUUUAAAAAGGCAGUGUAAAUUCCUAACCCGCUUGUACAAACCUGUUAAAUUUUACUUUUCAAAACAAAUUCCAUCUGCUAAGGUUUGAGUUGAAUUAAGUAGCAAAUGAUAUUUAUACUCAGGUAAAUAGACCAUUCUCACUCACUGUAGACCCUAUAUUCCUUCUCAUAGCUUUAACCAUUUUCUGUGUCCCUACUUUUGACAUCAAACUUCAGAUUUUCUGAUGCUUGCAUGAUUGUUGAAUAAAUUAGAAUCUGUAGUUGCUAACAUACUAACAACUGAUUUUAAGCUCAAAAAGGCAACAGUGGUGUCCAAUAUACUUUUGUGGGCUUUAAUGCUCAGUAUGGAAUACGCAAUGAACGGAUGUUUUAUGCCACUAAUGGCUAUAUUCUACAUCUUGAUGGCUUUUAGUAAAUAAAAUCAUGAUUCCAAGUCUGAAUUACAUGAUGAGAUGGUUCACUAGAGCUGCAAAUAUACAAGUUUGUAUUUAAAACAAAAAUACCGAAGCCAUUUUACUGAAAACUAGUUUUAUUUUAAAAUUAAGUGCAUAGCACUCAUCUAAUUCCAUUGGUGUAGACUUUAGCACCAUACUUGCUAUUUGCAAUUAAUGUCGUAACACAGAUACAUUUUGGUUUGCAGUCUGUACUUGAGUAGUGUUUAUUUAGUGGACUUUGGUAAAGCCCUUCAUACAUAUUAAUCUCUUCACAGUACACAUUUAAUGAUGGUCCAGUAUUCUCAAAAAAAAAAAAAAAAGCCUACUUUAAAGACUAAUCAAUAAAUUAAACAAAACAAAACCCACACAAUGUUCCCCCACCCCCCAAAGCUAGCAGUUGUGAGUUGUAUUUAUAUUGAAACCUAAUGUUUUAAAAAUAGUUCUGGUUCUCCAACCACCCCAUCCCACCCCGGGUAUGCAGCAAUAGUAAUCAAUUAUUUUAUUCUACCCUCCCAAAAGAUUAUUAAUCCAGUGUUCUUUAGCUUUUUAAAAUAUAAAUUGGGAAAGUGUUAUUAAUAAGCUUUUUUAAAAGGCAUAUUCUUCUAUAACAAGAAUGGCAUAUAAACCAAUCAAUAAAAGUAUUUGACAAGACAUUAAGUUACCACAGGCACUGGCUGUUGUUUCAAGUUGGGAUCUCUAUCCCAAUAUCUUACAUUCAUAGCAUUAUUGAGGUAGUUAAAAUACUGAAAAUUGGACUCCAGGUUGCUGGGUUCUGAAUGUGAAUGUGAAAGAUAUAUUCUCUUUUGAGCCUACUUUCCCCCAAAUAAUUCAAGUUUUCUUGAGGUAAGAACUACCAAAAUCCAAUUAGCAGCCUUCUUUAAAAAGGAAAAGUGAUGAUACUUUCAGAAAACAAUUUUCAUGCUUAAAAACUGCCAUGAGUGAGUGUUCUUACCUGAGUGGUUUUUCAUUUUAUCUACCAGACUAAUAAAUCCACAUCAUGCCCUAUGUACUCUAAAUAUAAAAGUUAUUUUCUUUUUAAGGAAAGGAUAUUUCUCUAAGCAUUGAUACUGACAGAAGCUACCCACCCACAUUCAUCCCCGGGAGCCAUCUGGAUCAGUCCAUCACUGUGUUGAGCCCCUUCCCUUCCUGACAAAGGCCAUUGGCUUGAUUACUGAGACUCCUGCUGCAUACCCACAACAUCUUUAUAGUAAGUUUGUCUUCGAUGCAUAUUGUGGCAGUCACGUAUCUGCCAUGCAGUUUUCCCUUCUAUUCAAGUGCUAUCUUAAAAAAAACAAAAAGACACACCUUACUAAUUUUUAAACCAGAAAGCUUCCCUCCACCAAAUCUUUCUUCUCCCACAGAAAGGAGCACAAUGUAUACAGUUUAUCAGUUAUUACAAUGACUUUUUAACUUUUUAAGGUUAUUCCUCCAAAAUGCUUUACCCCCAAACUGCCCUUGCUGUAAUGACAAUUAUUGCUGUUUGCAGUUAAUACUGGUACAGUGAAAUGUCCCAGGGCAGUUGUAGGGUCAAUCCAAUGAAAGUAGCUACUGAAAUUUAGUCAUCAGUUACCUUUGCCUGCUUAGACUGACUAGAGCUGGAUUCAAAGGUUGCUUAAAAAACCUGUCUUCCACAUAACAAAGUGCUGCUCUAGCACAACCUGAGAACUACCCUGGCCACAGUCCCUUCCAAAAUAAACCUACAGGACUUUAUUCUAGCACUGACCUCUUACAGUUAUGCCAUCCCUUGAAAUAACUUUUUAAGAAUGUCGAUUCUGAGUAUAAAUCAUGGAUUGCACUGAGAUAUGCAAAACCUACAUAUGUAUUAUGAAUCACAGGAACUACCACUUCAUUCUGAGCUAUAUUAUGUUCUCAUUUGAAAACACACCCUAGCAAGCGUAUUUUAACCUAUGUUAUAAAGGUAGUUCACACUAUAACAUUCCCAAGGCAUGUUGCAUUACAGUUAAGUGUUUCCAAGUAGUACAAAUUCCCUGAGUUAAAUGUAUUUUAAUUCUAAAAAUUUGAUGUUGAUCACUUAGGGAAAAAAAGAAAAAUUAUGACCAUGAUUUAAAAAAUAAGAUCUUCUCCACCCUUAAUUUUAGUAUAUAAACCCAGAUACCUACACUAUUUGUGAGACGAAGUUAUAUAGAAUCAUCUAAAAAAAUUUUUUUUACUGCAGAUUGGUAUAGCAUAACAAUUCAUGAGUUUAAACUUAGUCAAAAAUUCAUGUGUAGAACAAAAAUAAAAAAUUGCAGAAUAAAAAAAACCUUUUCAAAAAUUAAUACUGUAACUUUCCUUCAUAAAAGACUGUUUGGCAAGUCCAUAGAUGAGAUAAACAUUUAGUCUUUGACUUAGAAGCCAACAUUAGGCCCAGAUGCUACCACAGGUCAAAUCUCAAAAUGGCAAAUUGAAGUCUGUCCAAAUUUUCUGUUGUACUGAAUAUUUUUGAAAUAUUUGGACCAUCAGCCAGGACUUGAACAUUUUUGUCAUACAGGGAUUUGUUGUAACAGAAUUUGACAUACUGUUAAUUUGCUUAGUCUCCCAGGAUUCAUGGUGCAUUAAAAAGGAUAUUCAGUCUUCCUGGUGCUGGUACCUGAAGAGUUCUGAUGUCAUUUAGAUCCCUUUCCUUUUGAACAGAAGUUUACAAAACGCUUACCCAUAGCUUCAUGUCACAAAGCAGUCUGGGUCGGUUAUCAGCUUCACAAAUAAUCACCUUUCAAAACAUGGAGUAAUACAAGGGUAAUGUUCAUUUAUCUGAUAACUCCGGUUGUAAGAAACACUCAGACAGGGCUUAACUUCUACUGGUAUUGCCAGUGACAUCCCAACACCAGUCUGCAUGUGCCCAAGGCCCUGAACACUAGUUUGGAAGCCAGCAGGACAUGUCUGUAGUGUGUAAGAUGAGGUGUGUGUGGUCGAUACAAUCUGCUGACAGCUUGGUUGUUCUGACGUAGGAUGGCGAUACUGCAGUGAGGUCUGAUGUGUCUGAUGGAGAUACUGAGGUUGCUGAAAGUGAACUGGCCGUGAUGGCUGGGAGGCUGUCUGGAAUACACUUAGUUGCGCUGACUGAGGUCCUGCUUGCCCUCUCUGUUUGUUUGCUUCUUUCACAUCAUUAUCAUGAGCGCUGAAACGUGGAGAGAAAGGAAACUAUUAAAAAUACUGCUUGAGAAGAAAUCUGCAAGAAAAUCAUGCCCCAUCCCCAACUCAACAGCUUCUUCCACCACCACUACCCAGGUAGCAGUCACUGCACCAUAAUUCCAACAACAGUGAGACCUCGCUUGUGUUCUUCUAAAGCUAUUUCCCUUGAUGUGAACCUUCCUGGUAGCUUUGAGGAUUAUUUCCAGUUUGGGAGAUGUGUCCAUAAUAAGCACGUAAGUGUGGCUGCCAAUUUGGUAACAUCCUGGUGGCCCCCAAAAUUCAAUGAUGUUAGGAAUGGGGCAAGGCUGGCCUGGACUGAUCUCAGGGUUACAGACUUACAGACACACACAAGCAGCUCCUUUCCUUAUAAUGUGCCCAGAAUUAUUCUAACAAUGACACCUUCCCUAGAGUUCUGCUCAUACAUGGGCUUGCUCAUGGCAGCAAGUAACUGCUGCCAAAAGCAAAUAACCUAGGAACUCUGUGCCUUUCAGAAGCUGUUUUCAGGGCACCUCAUACAUGAAGAAAACUGUUAAUGAGAAAGUACAAACACAAGAAUAAAAAGGCUUACAUCAACAGUCGUUCAAUACACUGCACUAAGAAAUCCCAAGAGUAGGCAGUAAGACGAUGUAGUCUUGUAGGCCACGUUGGAGAAAGACGAAGUAUAAUCCUCGAAGAAGCCACACAUGCAGCAGCUACUAAAGAAGGUGCAUAAUUUAGAAAGGCAUAAUCUGUGGAGACACCAAAAAUGAACUUAAGGAACAGAAUACACGAGUCACAAGUGCACAAGUCACUUACUGGUAUUCACAACAACCCACCUUGCAAAGAUACUUCCAGGAAGUAAUCUGCAUAUUUGGCCAUGUAGAGUUUAGUCUUUUCCAAGCAAAUCAUUGGCCAGCCGUCAUGAAGAUCUGUUUCGUGUACUGCUUCAGAGAGAUAAUACUCAAUGAAAUGGGCGGCUGUUGGAAGGCAGAGGUUCCACUGAAAGGUUUCUAAUAAUAAUAGUUCCAUAUGUAGCAAAUUUUGUUUUGUUAAUACUAGAUUCAUAUUAGUCAUACAACCCAGGCUGUUGAGCUGCUCCAGCUUAGGCACACUGUCUUCUUUUUCUUCAAAUUUACCUUAUAAGAAAAGGGGAUGGGAGGGGAGAGAAAAUGUCAGGCAAGUGAUCAUUAUUGGUCUAGUCAGUAAAAUGGGAUUUGCUGUCUUAUUGCCAGGAUUUAGAUCCAAAGACGUACUUACCUUACACAGAUACAAUUGUGCCAGAACCCUGUGUUUUCUUUCCCAGUGCCACCAUCCCCAACCUUUCCCCAAUCCCCUAAAAAAAAAUGCUUGAAAUACAUAAACAUUUUGAUCUGUGUUCUAGUAUAGAAUGGAAAUAGUCAUGUGCCAGUGAAAAAAAUAACUCAAUCUCAUCAGCUGAAUAUUUUCAGGAAAUUUUUUUUGCAGGUGGGUGGUAGCUGGUAAAAUAAAUUAUUUGAUUUUAGAGUAGAAGAUAGUUUUUUUUUUUUUUGAGAUGGAGUCUUGCUCUGUCGCCCAGGCUGGAGUGCAGUGGCGUGAUCUCGGCUCACUGCAAGCUCCACCUCCCGGGUUCACGCCAUUCUCCUGCCUCAGCCUCCCGAGUAGCUGGGACUACAGGCGCCCGCCACCACGCCUGGCUAAUUUUUUGUAUUUUUAGUAGAGACGGGGUUUCACCAUGUUAGCCAGGAUGGUCUUGAUCUCUUGACCUUGUGAUCUGCCUGCCUCGGCCUCCCAAAGUGUUGGGAUUACAGGCGUGAGCCACUGCGCCCGGCCAAGAGGAGAAGAUAGUUUUAACAAUUUAAUGUCAUAGCUUUAUCUGAAAUAAAAAAUAGUUAAGCUCCAAUUGUUUCAUCUUGGCAUCAACAUAAUCUCAAUUCCAGAGAGAGACUGGAGGGAAAAACUGGGUGAACAUUUAACACAAGCACUAUCAUUCCACAAAAAGCCCCAUCCCCCACUUCUUCUGAAUUCAAAACAAAAAUCUAGUCUGUUAAAGAAAAAAGGGGCAUGGGGGAGAUAGUUUAUAUCUGCUUUUAAAUUCCCUUACUGAAAGCAGAAUAGGAGUAAAGACAAUAUGAUGGCUGAACAUUAUUCAAAGGGAUUAAUUUCUUUUCUGGAAAUACCCAUCUAUAAGGUUUCAGCUAUGCACAGCUGAAGAAUAAGAUUCUCUUUCCAGCCCCAGAAUGUUUCUAUAGAUUAUGUACCAUCUUACACUUUACUUUCCAAACAUGCAUUUUACUGUCUCUACAUAUAAAGGCUUCAUUUUAGUAAGUAUUUCUAGAACUGAUGGCUGGAGAACAUUUACAAACUAUUAAGUACUACUAUGAUUUUCCAGAUGCAGCAACAGAACCAGAGUUGUCAUCAAGCCUCUUUGGGUCUUUGUUCCAUGGUGGUCCACAGAAGAAAGGAAAUUAUAACUAAAGCUCCUAUUACUGUGUUCUAUUUUAGAUUUAAGGUUUAAAACCAUCAUAUUAUGCCUAUGCCAGGAGAUUCUAAGCUCAUGUGUUGUGAAGAAUCUAAGCCCAAGGAAGCAGGAGUGAUGGCAGAGAGGUGAACUUCCUUAGAUCUAAACCACUCUAAAUAUUGCUGCAGGUAGAAGUUGAUCCCAAACUUAAGUAAUUCAGACUUGAAUCUAGAUAGCCCUUCCUAAUUAAAAUCACAUAAAGAUCAAUUUAACAAGUUUUGCCAAUAGCAAAUACUUAAAGUUGAAAGCACUAAAGUGGUCUGUAUGACAUAGUUAUCCAGCUUAUUGCCUGAAAAAAGAAGAGGGAACCAGUGUUCCUAGUAUGAAGUGAAAUUCUUCAGAAGGAGAAUGACCUAGGAAUUUAGUUCAGUGUCUCUGGAUGAAUCAUUACAGCUUUCAAGCACCCUGCCAUUUGUGAAGCAACAGCAAUACUGGCAGAAUACUUCAAAGGAAUACUGUAGAAAUUAAUGAGUUUAUUUAUAUUAUGCUUAAAGUUCCUUUGAAGAAAUUAAUACAUCAUAAUUCAAGGAGCAAGAAUGUUUCAUAUUAUCUCCUUGAAAUCUUCAACAUUGGGAAAAAAAAUUGCAUAUGACCAAUUUCACUGCUCAAAAACCAAGGUAGCGAGGUUGGCCAAUCCAUUUAAGGUCAGAUAAGUUAAAUCAAACCAAAAAUGGAAGCCAAAAGGAAAAUUUAUGUUUGAAUUCCCAAAUUUGCACUUCUAGACCAGAACUGACAGAUUUCUGUAUUAUUAAGCAUCUAUGGGAUGUUUAUAUUUAUAAAAUAUUUGGCUACAAGUGUGAAAGACUUUGCAUAUUGAUCUUGCAAAGUUAAGAAUAAUCUGAUUCUGAAUAAAUAACCAUACUUGGGGUUUUAAUUCAGGGUUCAAAUUUUUUGGAACUUUUCCAUUAUGUAUAGUAAUAAAUAUUCAGAUACAUGGAUAUUAAAAGAUUUCAAAAAGUGUGAUAAUGUCAAUUGAGUACCUGCAUUCCUAUCUAUAGUUUUUGUUGUGCUCACUGCUAUGCCUAUGUUCAUUUUAAGUUUACUUAUCCACAUUACCACACACAGUUCACAAAGAUCAGUUUCUUCAAUUGAAAGGAAAUAACAGAAGCCAUGUGAUUAUAUUGAUAAAGGCCCCAAAUAGGAAAUAAGGGCACAGGAAAUUCAUAUCUGCUUCCCAGAAAAUAAAGAAUUAGAGGCCACAGAAACAAAAACACUGGGUUGUCUUUCCUUUGUAGGAUAUGUUCAUAUCAGCCAUGGAAACCAACACAUUUUCAAAGCCAGCAGUGAAUAGUAGGUAUGUGGUAGAGAAGAUUUAUAUACUGAAUAGGGCACGGAUCAGAUGUCACCGAGUGCUCUGCCAACCCACAUUCUAUUUUUUUAUUACUAAGUAGGGGGAAAAAAGUCAUCCCUAACAUACACUAAGAAUUAUCACAAAUUUAUAAAAUGAAUCUAAUAUAAAAAUGGGCAAACAAAAGAAAAAGGUAAUUCAUAGAAAAAAAUUCUGAGCUCAUUAAAAAUUGAGAUGUAAAUUAAACCAACUGUGAGAUAUAAAUUUUCACACAUCAGUAAAAAGCUUUGCUAACCCAGUGUUGGUUGGCAAGGGGAAACAAGCACUUGUUACAAAUUGUUACUACUAAAAGCCUCUGUCUCACUUUUCACUUUGUCUUGACUCCAAGAUCAUUUCUUAGUUAUGUAAGAUCUUGAGCAAAUUAUGAGAAAUCUUAUCUCCAAGAUUACUUCCACAUGCUCCAUAAAUGUAAUGUUGGUCACAGAAGCCAAGGGAAGCCAGGGCAUACAUGUGAAAGAGUUGGAAUAGGAGAACUUCCCUGGACAAAUUAGGGUCCAGUUUGAAAUAGGUCAAAACCUUUAGGGUAAAGGAGGCAGGCUAAAGGUAACAGAGCAACUUAUGGAGGAAUUAAUAAUUACCAUGCUAAUCUUUUAAUGUUUCCAUUUCCUACAUGCUUUUAAACAUAUUACCCCCACUUGAUCCCAGAACAACUUUGUAAGGUAUCUUUAUUUCCAUCUUAUAAAGAAAUAACCUGAGAUUCAGGGGUUGUUGAAAUUCAUAUUGCUGAUGAGACUCCAACCCAGGGAAUCCAUCACUAUGGUCAUUGCUCCAAAACACUACACAUAGCUCUCCAAUCAGAGAUAAUCUGUAGGCCCUUUCUUCUUCUAAUAGUGUAGACAUAAGCAUUUGCUUCUAGAACUUACAAGGUAUGCUCCAUCUUUGGCCAAACCACCUACGGCUUCCCAUUACAAUGAACUCCACAAAUUUAAAACAGGAAUCAGACACUGAAAAGAGUUUAUCAGUUUAUAAGAAUCCUAAGCUCUUCUGCUGUAAAGUUACAGACUAGGGUUGGGGGGCAAGGGUAGAGAGACUGCUGCCUACUAAGGGCUAACCUCUUCAAUUCCUGACCCUGGUGUAGAGCUGAUAGCUCAAACUCUUUUGAACAACUUGCUACUUGGGAGGAGCAGAAAUCCUGAAGAAUACCUCACAUACAUUCCUACUCUCCAAUGCAAAAGGAAGAAUGUAAAAGCAAUUCUUCCCUCAAGGAAAGGGAAAUCAGGAGGCAUCAGCAGAAAAAGGAGGGAGGUAUCCAGUUCUUUCAGUAAUAGGUGAUAAUUCAUAUUUGAACCCCAGCAAAUACAGAUCCUAAUGUCUAAUUACUGGAAAGAGUCACAAAUAACUACAUCUUACCACUGAUAUUAAUCCAAAUAGUUCAAUAAAAUAAAUUGUUCAUGACCUUAAACUAACAGAAAUACACAAUUUAAAAAUAAGAACAAUUGAAAACUCCAUUCCAACCAACCUAAGAUGGUACACAAAGAUGGCCUUCCCACUUGGCCCACGCUACACUUUAAAAAUCACAGGCAUAGAGCAGGUGCUAGUGUUAAAAUGACAGUGAUAGCCACACAGUUACUUUCCAUUAAUGAUACCAAGUUUUUAAAAUAAUCUAACUUGCAUGUCUGAUUUCCAGUGACACUCUACUGUAAACUGAUUCUAUAAUAAACAUUCUGUACAAUAACAAAAAUCCAUUUUAUUUGUGGACUCACACAUCUAAACUGUCACGUGUGAGCUUUUCCAAUCUUAUACAAACUAUUAAACCCCAAAGGGCUUCACAGCCAGUGAUUAAACACAUACAGUAUUACACACAUGAUUACUUAUGAGCAUGAAACUUUAAUUAGAGGCUAAAUUAAAGGUUAAUUAUAAAUGUACAAGCAUUACCUCUCUGGCUCCUGGGUAGGGGGAUGAGGGAUGAGUGAAGUGUCUGAAUUUUAGAGAACAGUAGAUUAAGGGGAAAUGUAGAUAUUCAGGAAGUAAAUGGUAUUCUAAGAAUUUUGCUCAACGUACAUGGGGAUGAGACUGGAAAGGUGGCUGGGUCCAGAUGAAAGAUUCUAAACACUACAUUAAGCAGUUUCCACCUUAAUAUAUAGGCAGUGGGAAGUCAUGCUGCAGCUGUGUUUUAUUUACAUUCAGCCUGGUUCUACAAUGGAUCUGAAAUAACUUACAAAGGGACAUUCUGGGGACAAAAUAAGUAGUUGAGGUCAUCAGAUCAAAGGAAGAAUAAAGGUCAGAAAAUAAAAUCUGAGAAGAGAUUAGUACCAGAAAUGAUACUACAUAGGACUACAUUUGGUUUUAGAUUUAUAAGCAGCCAGGCACAGAAGUGCUAAAGAACUCUGGUGGCAUGGAUAUAGGGGGAAUGUUCCUUAUUUCAUCCCAGCCAUAUUUGACCCCAAAACCUCAAGGGAGAGUUAGAGGUGAAGGUUAUCAGUAUAUCUACAUACUCCUUUAAGAUUCUAUUAUAAUGACAUGGAUAAUACAGAAACUACAUUACUGAUUUAACUUCAAUAUCAAAUACAAUCUUUAUCCCUCAAGUGAGAGUUAAAAGUGAAGGUUAUCAAUACAUCUACAUACUAUAAAUUUCAUUGUAAUAACAUGAAUAUAGAAACUAUAUUACUGAUUCAACUUCCAUAUCAAAUACAAUCUUCCACAUUAUUAAAAGAAAAAAAAACACAAUUUCAAUUCCUUUACGUGCCCUAUCUUCAGUGAGAGUACCAACGAGCAAUGAAAUGAGGUAUAGGAAGAUGUAAAGAGAAAGAGGGGCCAAAAGAUCCACCAGUAUAUUCUGUACUAAGUAACAAAUAUGGUUGUAUCAGAUUGUAUCUUGGAGCCUACUACACAGUUGGUCUAAUGCAUAAGCAAAAGUUUUCACAUUUAUAGUAGUUGCACAUUAACUUUUAGUUCAUUAAGCCAACUCAUUAUUUAGUCAGUAGAAAGUAUUCUAAUAUAAGAAUAUGGUACUUUUAAGACAGUUUCUCAACUUUAGCUCCAUUGAUGUUUUGGGACAGAGAAUUUUGUUAUGGGAAACUGUCCUGUACACUACCGGAUGUUUAGCAGCAUCCCAGGCCUCUAUGUACUAGAUGCUAAAAAAGCAUCUCCCACUUUAUCACCAGAUGUGACAACCAAAACGUCUGUACACGUUGCCAAGUGUUCCCUGUGGGACAAAACUGCUCCUGGUUUAGAACCACUGCUUUAAGACAAUGGUUCUCAAUUGGAAAGGUAAAUCAAAAUCACCUUUGGAACUUUUUCAAAAAGUUAAAAAAUACCCAGUACCCAUUAUGUAGAUUUUGUCUUAGUAGAUCUGGAGUGGCCGAGAAUGUACGGCUUAGGCACAUGUUUUUAACAGGCUCCAAAGCCAUUUUUCAAUGUCUGGUUAAGAAUUAUUACACUGAGAAGCACUUUUAACAUAAGCUUCUUGAUACUAGUGAACUGGAAUGAAUGGGAUUUGAUGAUAUUUCACUGAGUUCUACAUAAAUUUAUUUUAUUAUAUAAACAUCAGAAAUUUCCAGUCAUGUAAAUCAGAUUCAUACUUACUUGCUAGAAGCAGGCAGGAAAGCGCAACUAAAUGCAGCUGCUGGAUAGAGAUGUCAUAGCGGUCCAUAAACAGGUCCAGUAAAUAGACAGCAAGAUGGCGGGCAGAAGGGCAGAGUGUGAAGCGAUUGCUCACAAUGGCAAUCAAGUCAGCAAAAUACCGUCUGAGACUUAACUGAGGGGACUGGCCUUUAUAGGAGGGCAACUUCAGCUCCUAAGUCAAAAGGAACAACAUUUAGUCUGACCUAUCUGUAGGCGUAUCCCCACAAGGCAAUGACUUAACAUUGUUUUUCCAAUAUAUUAGUAUUACAAGUGCCUAAAACAUACUUUUCUUGACUGGAAUACAAAAAUGAAAAAGUUAAGUGGAGGGAUAAUGAAUGACAUUUAAAACCAAAUUUUUCUCCUUACUCUUAACCACUUCUGAUGUGAACAAUUAUAGAUGUUCUUGUUUCUUGCUUUCUAGAAUGGAUACAUCCUACAAAGAUUUUUAAUAAGAGAAUCCUGUUUUCCCUACCAGGUGUUUUCAGAAAAACAUCCCUGACAAACCAACCACAUACCACACACACGCCCCUACACCUCUCCAAGAUGCUCAGAACUUUUGGUUAGAAGGUAAUAGAUAAGUGGAUAUGCUGCAUACAGUAUUAUACUUGCAACAGUGUAGAAAGCAGUACCUUUCCUCUAGUAUCUUCUAAUUUUGUUUCCCUUUUAACAGUUUUAUGAUCUGCCCUUUCCCAUCAUCCUCUCAUACACCUAAAAUCACUUCAAUCUCAGGACUAUAUUAUAUCAACUUGUUUUUUAAAAACUGGAAAAAUUCUAUACUAUUAAAAUAUUUCCAGAGCAUAGAGAAAGAUGGAAAGCUUCCAAAUUCAUUUUAUAAGAUCAGCAUAAUACUGAUACUAAACCCAACAGGUAUCACAAUAGAAGAAGUAACAGGGAUACGAUACCAAAAGCAGAACUUCCCCUACCCUGCAAAAAAAAAAAAAAAAAAGAAAAAGAAAAAGAAAAGAGAAAUGGGACUUUAACAAAAUUAAAAACUUUUGUUUAACAAAAGAUGCUAUCAACAGAGUAAAAGGGCAACCCGCAGAAUGGAUGAAAGUAUUUAUAAUCAUAUCUGAUAAGGGGUAAAUAGCUAGAUUAUAUAAAUAACUUAUACAACUGGAUAACAACCAAAAAACCUAAUUAUAAAAAUGGGCAAAGGAUUUGAAUAGACAUUUCUCCAAAGAAGAUACACACAAAUGCCCAAAAAAUAUCAUAAAACAUGAAAAAGAUGUUUGUUCAGCAUCACUAAUUAUUAGGAAAUGCAAAUCAAAACCACUAACAGCACUUCACACCUAGUUGGAUUGCUAUUAUCAAAAAACAAAACAAAACAAAACAAAACCAGAUAAUCAUAAGUGUUAGCUUGAAUGUGGAGAAACUGGAAUCCUUGUGCAUUCCUGGUGGGAAUGUAAAAUGAUGUAGUUGUUACAGAUAACAGUAUGGCAAUCCCUCAAUAAAUUAAACAGAGUUACCACAUGAUCCAGCAAUUCCACGUUUAGGUACAUACUCAAAAGAACUGAAAGCAGGGACUUGAAGAGAGAUUUGUACACACAUGUUCAAAACAGGAUUACUCACAAUAACCAAAAGGUGGAAACAAUGCAAAUGCCCACCAGCAGAUGAAUGGAUAAACAAAAUGUGGUAUAUACAUGGAGUAUUAUUCAGCCUUAGAAAAUUCUUAUAAUAUACUACAUGGUUGAACCUUGGAGACAGUAUGCUAAAUGAAAAAAGUCAUGAAAGAACAUUUAUUGUAUGAUUCCACUUAAUGAGUUACCUAGAAUAGUCCUAUUUACAGGGACAAAGUAGAAUAGUGGUUAUCAGAAGCUAGAGGGUGGGAAAUUGGGGAGUAAUCGUUCAAUGGGUAUGGAGUUUCAGUUUGGGAAGAUGAAAAAGUUCUAAAGAUAGAUAGUGGUGACAACAAUGCAAAUGUACCUAAUGUCACUGAACUGUACAGUUAAAAAUGGUUAGAAUGGUAAGUUUUAUGUUAUGACAGCUGCUGGCAAGGUUGUGGAGAAAAAGGAACGCUUUUACACUGUUGGUGGGAGUGUAAAUUAGUUCAACCAUUGUGGAAGACAGUGUGGUGAUUCCUCAAAGACCUAGAGGCAGAAAUACCCUUUUACCUAGCAAUCUCAUUACUGGGUAUAUAACCAAAGGAAUAUAAAUCAUUCUACUAUAAAGACACAUGCAUGUGUAUGUUCACUGAAGCACUAUUCACAAGAGCAAAGACAUGGAAUCAACCUAAAUGCCCAUCAAUGAUAGACUGGAUAAAAUGUGGUACAUACAGACCAUGGAAUACUGUGCAGCCAUGAAAAGGAACAAGAUCACGUCCUUUGCAGAGAGAUGGAUGGAGCUGGAGGCCAUUAUCCUUAGCAAACUAAUGCAGGAAAAGAAAACCAAAUACCACAUGUUCUCACUUAUAAGUGGGAGCUAAAUGAUGAGAACACAUGGACACAUGUUGCGGGGAACAACACACACUGGGGCCUGUCGGAGGGUGGGGGUGGGAGGAGGAAGAGGAUCAGGAAGAAUAGCUAGUGGAUGCUGGGAUUAAUACCUAGGUGAUGGGAUGAUCUGUGCAGUAAGCCACCAUGGCAAACGUUUACCUAUGUAACAAACCUGCACAUCCUGCACACGUACCCCUGAACUUAAAAGUUGGGGAAAAAAAGUUUUAUGUUGAUACAUUUUACGAUAAACAAAAAAGGGAAGUUAUAUAUUCACCUAACUUAAUAUUACCUAAGAUAAAUGGAUAAAAUAGUCAAUGUAAUUUAGUAGUGUAGCCAAAGAAUACAUCAAUUGUUGUUUUUUGAGACAGGGUUUCCUGUAGCCCAGGCUGGAGUACAGUGGUGCCAUCUUGGCUCACUGCACCCUCCACCUCCCAGGCUCAAGCAAUCCAACCACCUCAACCUCUGGAGUAGCUGGGACUACAAGCGCUCACUGCCACGCCCAGUUAGUUUCUGUACAACAGGGUCUCGCUAUGUUGCCCAGGCUGGUCUCCAGCUCAUGGACUCAAGUGAUCCACCUGCUUUCAGCCUCCCAAAGUGUUGAGAUUACAGGUGUGAGCCACCAUGCCUGGCCAAAAAAAUUUUUUUUUUCCACAUAAAGGGAAGAUGCCGAUUUCUCAUGUAGUUCCUAGGAUUUUUCUUUUCUCCUUAACUCUUUCUUUGGAUCUUUACAAUGGUGUAAGUGAGUUGCAACUUUACCUUUGCUGCCACCAUGUGACAUUUAUUGAGCAUCUCCCAUGCAGCAGACACUAUACUAACCCAGGCAUAAAAGCUGGAAAAACAGUCUCAAGCCUAUCUCUAGCAGGUGAAUCAAAUACAGAGCUUAUCACACAAUAUAGUCACCACAGGUUAUUAUGGCAACACCUAGGAAGAAAAUCUAACUUAGCUCAGGGAUUAGGGAGUUGGGGAAAAAAGGCAAAACCAGAGCAGGUUUUCCCAAAAAGUGGCCUGAACAUGGUCUUAAAGACUCCCUGGAAACACCUGGAAAACACUGAUGGACUUCACUUUCUUAAUGUUUCUCACAAAGCUAGAAUUGUUCCCAUUUGUCAUUAAGGCUCCUAAAAACACUUUCCCAAACAGCCUAUGACACUAACUAUACACAGCAAAAUAAUGAGAAGAAAGGAGACAAAAGGGUGUAAGGUGACAGCUGCUUUGUAGGGGUUUUUUGAGGGAGUGGAUAGUUGGCAUGAUUUCCAUUCAUUGUCAUUUUCACUCUUCCCUAGUAAACACAAUGCUAGUCACACCAAAUAUUUCUCCACAAACCUAGGGCCUAAACAUAGAAUACCUUCUGCAGUAUCUCAAUGGCAACUGCCCAAAGGAAGACCUAAAUGUGGAUGCUCUAAAUUAUAGAUAAGGUUAGACUAUGAAGGCAAGGAUCAUGUCUCGUUCACUGUUAUUGCUCUAACACCUGGCAUGAUAUCAUGUAUGUCAUAAAUGAUCAACAUGUUGAAGAAAAACAGAUGACUAUCCGACUGAAUCACCAAUUAAUAGCCUGGAAUUACCACGUCUUUUCUAGGAGAAAAGUCCAUUUUAAGUUUCCUUCAGUGUAUUACAAACAGUGGUCUCUCCAGUUCCACAAGUUUAAGUUUUACAGAUUAAUGUAAAUUCUUGUAUAAAGUGUUGCCAGUAAGAACCAUGGUUUGCAUAAUGCUUAAACAUAAAGACAACCCAGGGCAGUAGGCCAUAGGUGGCCCAAUAAAACUUUCAGUGGCAUUCCUUCACACCCUGUGCUACCUUGUCCUCUGAUAGUUCAUAAGCAACUUGAGUGAGUAUAAGGUUGGGUCUUAUGCCUUGGAUGCUCCAGAAACUAAUCCACAAAAGCCUUCAACAAAUCUAAAUCUAGGAGAAAAAACAAAAAAACAAAGAACCCAUGUCCAAACUCAAUUGACAAAAUGCAGAUAAUCACUCACGAAUUAAAAUGAUCUACACAUAAAAUGAUUGAAAAGUAUGGAAAUCACCAAGAAAAACCUUUUAAGUUUCAUGCCAAUUAAAAAAUAUACUCUUGGCUGGGCGCAGUGGCUCAUGCCUGUAAUCCCAGCACUUUAGGAGGCCGAGGCAGGUGGAUCACCUGAGGUCAGGUGAAACUCCAACUCAAAAAAAAAGUACUCUUAAUAUCAACUAAUUAAUUUCACUACAUACCAGAGGGAUAAAAAGGCUGACACUUAAAACACUUUUCAAAAUAUGUGCAACUAUAUUAAUUUUUUUAAAAAAGAAAACAUUUCACAUUGAAAGAUGACAUCUGCCAAAAAAAAAAAAGAUCAAAAGUGUAUCUGGACAAUUUUCCAAGAAACUGCAACUCUUUCCUAACUAACACUCCAGAGAUCCCAUUAGUUAGAAUUUUUAUGUGGUAUAAACCAUCUCCUAGGGGGCUGAACUGUAUUUUAGUGAAUCUAAGAGACUGAAUGUCAGAAUUAGUUAAGUAGCAUUUAGAAAUCUCAGGCCUAGAAAAGGGUAACAAUUUAAGUCAGAAUUAGGUUUUCCAAUCUACUUGACCUGGUCAGAAACUCAAGAUAAAAGUUCAUUAUCAUUCCAGGAUCUCAACCCCAAGAGUCAGAAUCCUUUUUAUUGAAAGUCAGCUGUUUUGCUUCUUUCUCAAUUUUCUACAUUUAACAAAUGGCUUUCUUUAUCCAAGGUGAAACUGAGUUAAGCUAGAGAUCAUUUUGGAUCUGGUCUCUCUUUUGGUUAUCGAAGAGGCAGAAAUGUCUCAUUAAUCUGCCUUGCCACAUGCAGAGUAAAACCGUUACUUAAUAGCAACAAUACACAGACUUUGCUUUGUGUUGGAAAAGUAUUUUUUUCCAAUAUCUAUUAAGUCUACUUUCUGCCUUUGAUAUCAGCAGGAAGGGGCAGCCAACUCCCUCCACUUUAGGGCUUUUGAACAGCCCAAAUCCUGAGGGGUAAGUGAUAAGAAGUUAUCACUUAGUGCUUACUAUAUACCAAGAGCAGUUUCUAAGCACAUGUACGGUACUAACUUAAGUUUCACAAUCGCCAGAAUCAUAAGGCACACUCAUUAUUCCUCAUUUUACAGAUGAGGAAAUCAAGAAACAGAAAUUUCACUUGUCCACGUCUCACGGCAAGUUAGCGGAAAGGCUGAGGAAUUUAUGUACAAAAGCGACUUAAACUGGCUGCAUGCAACGGCAACUCUCGAACAAAGAGGGCUGUUCUGCCCAACAAAAAUUCAGUGUAUAUAUCUUUUAAAAUACAAGAUCAAAUUCAUGACCCACCUGGAAGCCAGAACGCCCCUUUCCACCUUCCCUGGCCCAACUACCAUCUCCCUACUCAUUCAGGUUGCAGGUUCUUUUGAUACAUCCCAGAGAAGGAGCCAAGAAGUUAAUUAACCUUGAGCAAAUGAGCAAACUCGCCUUUUCUGGCCCGGAAGAUAGUGAGUAAAGAACCUGACUAGACCUUCUAGAGAGCCGAGAUUCAGAACAACUGGCGCGACACACAGAAGGAGAAGGCAGGCCGGGCCUCGGAGUUACCUUGUAGCGAAGCGCUUGGUGAAUAUCGGCGGCCAGCUGUCCUCGCCACCACUGCCCCUCCAGCUCCAUGGGACCCGGCGGCGCGCCCAGCCCGACGCGGCAACUCGAGUCUGUAAGACACACCCCAGGCGCGGUCACUGCCGGCUCCCCCGCGACCCUCUGCGCCCCCUCCCCGGGGGGUGUGACCUCAGGCCACCCGGUGUGGCUGCUCAUCUUCACUUGACUCUUCCUCAACCCAGCCCGACCCGAGUCGUUUCCCCCAACGCCACACGCGAAGCCGGGUCUGCCCCCGCAGGAAGAGCCGAAGGACUCUGAGACUCACUGCUCGACUAUGUGUCGGGCAAAAGGGGAUCCACUCGGGCCCUGAGUUGCCAAAGCGCGGAGCCAGGUGCGAGCUCGGGAAGAGCUGGGGGAGGCCCGGCUGGGGCUCCCUGCGUCCGGGGCUGGAGUUCUCCCGCCCUCCCUGAGGAGCGGGGAGAGGUGACACGCUCAUAGCCCCGCUGAGGGGAAACGCUCCCAUGGCAAAGCCCGGGGGUGAGCGUCUGCCUGGCCGCGGGUCUCCGCAUGGACGUCGGGAGCCUGCUCCUCCCCGGGAGCCCCGAGAAACGCACGUUCCGCGCGGCCUCAGAAAGGGGAACAAAAGGCCGGGCCAGCCAGGCUCUGCGCCUCACCCCGGGAGGGUCCGCUGCCCCACGCCUACCCCAGGCCUGCCGGGCCGCCCGGCCCCACGCUGGCUCCCUUACCCGGAACCGCGGCCCUCACAGCCCCAGCCCCGCCGUCGUGCGGCGGACGCCGGCCCCGCUCAUGCUGCGGACAGUGGGCCGCUAAGCGCCGGCCUCAGCUAGAGCCCAGCGCCUGGACGCUCGCGCCGCCCAUUGUUAAAGGACCGGCAGGCGGCUCCGCAUACAAAGCCAGCGCGGGGGCACUUGAGGCCCCGCCGCUGCCAAUCUCGUCUCGCGAUACAGCGGGGUCGCCCCGAGCCGUCCAAUUGGCGGCCGGGCCGGGCCCAGGUGCAGCGCCAGGCGGCGGCGCGGCGGCUCCCGCCUGGGUACGGUCAGCAUCCCGCACGGCGCGGCGUGGCCUGGGCUGGCCUGGCGCUUCGGUUGCCGGGGCGCUCAGCCGCCACCUACUGCGAAGCCGGCCUGAUCGCCGGCUGAGGUCGGCAGAGAGCGCCGGAGAAAUUGUAAGGUGGAUCACUGCAGUGACCAAUCCAGUUAGGCCACUCACCUGCUGAGAACCUUCGAUGGCUCCUCGAUGCCCGCGGAGCAAAGUUCCGACGCCUCAGUUUGGCGUUUAAAAGUCUUCACGGCAUGGAUUCGGUUUACCUUACUUCACGUUGCACCAACCGCUUCCAUCCCAGGGGCUGCUCCGUGGAUCAUCAGGCCCUCCAAAUGUGCUUUAGCUGUUUCUGCAGCCCCUGAAGCGUUUUUUUUUUCCUGUGAAAUUAUGCUCUUUUUUUAAGUUCCACCUCAAACUCCACCUUUCUUCUAGAAACCUAAUUAAUCUCUUCCCCCUCCUUAUUUUCGUUGCUGUAGGGAUUCCCAAGAGCUUUGAAUGAAGACAUUUAAGAUUACUUCUAGUAACCUUGCUUGUCAAACCCAUGGUGGAUGUAAUUAACCAUCUGUGCUCGUAAAUCAGGAAACUGCAAAACUGUGAGAACACUCCGACGUCAAUUGAGGUGAUAUGGGGGCUGAAAUGUGAUUAGAGGAAACCUAAUCAAUUGUAUUUUAACCUCUUUGGUGGAUUAUCACAAAAGAGGUGGAUGGUAACCCUAGGACAGUGAGACUGUCCACUUUUCUGAGACUGGAGAUCAAUCUCUUAAUAGUAAAACGUAAAUAUUUUUAAAACUUCACCCCUUUUACUUUGAAUCCUUUGUCCAAAAAGAUACAUGAUGAUAAAGAACUACUACAAAGUGAUAAAUACAUUUUAUGUGAUUCUGGGUGGCAUCUUCAUUUGAAGAUCAUCAGCAGACAUGUAUAUGAGCCGUACCCUAUCCAUAGACGAUGCUUAUACCCAGGAGAGCAGGCCCGCAGGAACCAAAGGCAAGAAAAGGGAAACUCAGAAGCUGAAGUUGGCAGAUCCCGGCCUAACCCGACAUAGUCCAGGGAGAAGGCUGCCCUGGCCUGUCUCUCAGUUGCAGGGUCCUCUAGAGUGAAGGUAGACACAUCAGGCUAAAAGCUUCAUGCCAUUUUUAAUGGCAUUUAAAUAGUGUCUACAUCCUUGGGUUCCAUUUCAUGACUAUUAAACAACUUUAUAAUAAUUUGGCUUCUAAAUAACUGUCCAGGGCCUAUUUAAGAACACUUUCAGAAAAAUGGGGCACAGACUAUAAUCAUUAGUAUAAGAAGUAGACUGUAUUUAUCGCUUCUACUUUGAAAAUAUUGUUCACUGGGAUAUAUUUGUUCAGAAAUCAUUAUUGUUUUCUGGACUUGCCUUGUGAUGAGAAGACUUCAAUGUCCAUUUCCUUUUAUGGAUUAAUGUUCAUUUUACACAUAUAUUUUGCCAUAGUGUGUCUUAGAUAGUAAAUCCUUAAAAUGCAAAGUUCAAACUUACUAUGAUUUAUUUAAUUCCUUUAGAGCAAGGUGGACACAGUUAAGGUAUUUACUUAACUCCUAAAGUCUCUGCUCUCAUAGAGUUUUUAUUCCACUAGAAAUAGAGAUACAAUGAACAACAACAAAAAAACAUAUCACAUGGUGACAAGUGAUGUGAAGAAAAAUAAACAGAAAAAAAGGCUAGAAAGUGACCAUGGGUGGGCUGGGUGUGGUGGCUCAUGCCUGUAAUCCCAUCACUUUGGGAGGCUGAGGCCAGCAGAUUACCUAAGGUCGAGAGUUCGAGAACAGCCUGGCCAACAUGGUGAAACCCCGUAUCUACUAAAAAUACAAAAAUUAGCCAGGUGUGGUGGUGGGCGCCUAUAAUCCCAGCUACUCGGUAGGCUGAGGCAGAAGAAUUGCUUGAGCCCGGGAGGCGGUGGUUGCAGUGAGCCGAGAUCGCGCCACUAUACUCCAGCCUGGGUGACAGAGCCAGACUGUGUCUCGGAAAAAAAAAAAAAAAAAAGAAAUGGGUGGACUUUGUUUCAUGAUAAGGUAAGGCAUGCAAAGGCCUGAGGGAAGUGAGAGAGUAGGUACGUAUCAGGUGGCUGAGCAUUCCAGGCCGAGGGAAUUGGUACACGCAAAGACUCUAAAGUGAAGGCAUGUUUGGAAUGAAAAUAGAGGCCACUGUAUGUCUGGAGUGAAGAGGAGAUAGGAAAGACGUUCUAAGUCAAGGAAGCACUGAUCACCAAUGGUAUGAAAGAAUGGAAGUAAAAAAGGCAGAACAUCUAUAUAAAGGGCAGAAUAGGGAAACUGCAGAGUCCUUUGUGACUGCAGCAUAAGGCACAGGUAGAUUUGACAAGAGAUGAGGUGGGACCAGAUUCUCUGGAAAUCUUCUGUAACUCACAGAACUUUACGCCGUGGAAAAGCACUGAUUUUUUAAUUGUUUAAGUUUUUUAAAUGAAUGCAUGAAAAAGCUAGAAGAUUUCAAGCCAUAGAAGACUAUACAGUGACUAGCAAGUUUCUUUCCCUCCCUGGUCCCAGUUUUUUCCAGAGGUGACACCAUUACUCUUUUCUUUUGUAGCCUUCCAGGGAUAUCCAGGUAUUUAUAACCAUGUAUAUAUAUAUAUAUAUAUAUAUAUAUAUAUAUGAAACUCCCUUGCCUCAUUUUAUGUACAAAUGGUAGUAUGUUACAUGCUCUGUUGUGUACCUAGAUUUUGUCAUACAGAAUAUUCCGGCGAACAUUCCAUAACAGGACAUCCAGGAUUCCUUUUAAUGGCAGCAGCAUAUUCUACUGGAUGCAAAGGCCUGGAAGCCAACAGCCCUGGGCUCUGGUUCUCUGUUCUUGAUUUGUUGCUAUUUGUAGUAUUCAACUCAUUGCAACUACUAUUCAUAUCCACCAUCUCUCAGUUACACUUGUACAGUAGUCUCUUAACUGGUCUUAUUGCAACUGCUCCUGUCCUUCUUGAAAAUAUUCAUCACCUAGUAGUUGGAGUGGUCAUAAAAAGGUAAAUCACAUCUGAGCUUGAUAGUCAAGAGUUCCUAGAUCACAUUUCCAAACUGUUUUAGCAUAUUGAACAAUGUUAAGGAUAGUUUUUAAGUCUACUUUAUAAAAAAUUAGUUCCAGGUAUUUGUAAUCACAGAUAUUUGUAAUCUGUAAUUUAUGAAAAAUAUUCCAAAUUUUAAAAUGCUAUAUAAGAUUCUAUUUCUGGAUAAGAUGAAUGUGACAGUUAAUUUUAUGUGUCAACUUGACUGGGCCAAGAUUGGGUGCCAGAUAUUUGGUCAAAUAUUAUUCUGGGUGUGUCUGUGAGAGUGUUUUUGGAUGUGAUAAACAUUUGAAUCAUGGAGUAAGUAAAGUGGAUUGCCCUCCCUAAUGUGAGUGGUCCUCAUCCAAUCAGUUUAAGGCCUGAAUAGAAUAAAAAGAUUGACCCUUUGUCGAGGAAGAGAGAAUUCCUGCUGCCCAACUUAUUUGAGCUGGGACAUAGGUCUUUCCUGGCCUUCAGACUCAAACUGAAACAUCAGCUCUUCUUGCAUCUUGAGCCUGCCGGUUUUCAGACUGGAAUUACCUGUCAACUCUCCUGGUCUCCAGCUCCUGACAGCAGAUCUUGGGACUCCUCAGCCUUUAUGAUCAUGUAAGAUAUAGAUAUAUAACUAUAGAUAUAGAUAUAAUUCCUUAGUUUAUAUAUCUGUAUCUCUGUGUAUAUGCAUAUACACACAUAUAUAUGCAGAUAGAUAGGUAAAUACACACAUAUGCACAUGCACAUUCUGUUGGUUCUGUUUCUCUGGAGAACCCUAACACAAUGGAUUAAGCCAGCUUCACCCUGUCUCUCCCACCGAAUGUAACUAUAAAAUCUGGACAGACUGCAUGAGCAGCUAUUUGAAGACAAUGUAAAGUAAAUAGUAGCAGGCAAGUGGGGAGGAAGACCUUAAUUUGAAAUAUCACCAAACUGGUGGUGAGUUACCCCUUCUUCCUCCAGGAUUCCCCAGCUUGGAUUCAGGAAGCCUGAAAUCUAGAAAUGGGCACCAGGGCACAGAAAGGGAGAGCCCUAGGAGAAUCCCUUUUGUUAUAAGGAACAGCAAAGGAGUCUCCUAAUGAUCAGAGUGAGGCAAUUCCCAUUUAUUUAUUUUUUCUUUCUUUUCUCUCUCUCCUGCUGUAGCCCCCAGGCAUUCUUCAGCAGAUUGGUGGUAGCCACAACAGUGGUAAUAGGGGCCAACAGGUGCCGAAAACUUAGGAAAGGAAAGCCUCUUAUCUGAUCAGAACAGCUGUGGUUGUUUGUUUUCCUUUGUCUUCCCACUGCCUUACUCUGGAUGGAGGUACAAUAAUGGGAAGUGUGGGCAAAGAGGUGUAACUAAAAACCACAGCUUUAUGGCUGGAGAACUGAAAAAGGGAGGCCCAGGGAACUGAAAAGUACUGGGGAGACUGUGGAGAGGGAGGAGCAGCUUUGGAAAAUGAUCCCACAAAGUGCUUAUGAACAACUGGGCUUACCUCUGAGUUGUGCAUACAUAGAUCCACUCUGAAAAGACUAAAAACUCAGAACUGCCCAGAGCAGUGGCUGGCCACUAAGCAGCACACAUAUGUGACAGAUCUGAGUAGCACAGAAAGACUUUGAAAAUGGACCUGACAUCGAAACCACAACCCACAAAAGGCUAGCCAGAACUUGCAGCCUGAACUCAACCAGAUUGGUUCCCGGCUACAACAAAAAACAUCAACAUUCUCCAAAAGAUUUAAGUAAGACGUAGAUCUCCUAACAUACAGCAUAUUCAAAUUGCCCUGGAUACAACCCAAAUUACUCAGCCUAUGAAGAACAAAAACAAAUCUCAAUUCUCAUGGGAAAGACAAUCAACAAACACUAACACUAAGAUGACAGAGAAUUAUUUGACAAGA